rnacentral:lncRNA from 1 species
ACCAGGUCAAAGAUCCUCCAAGGGAAGUGUGUAGGGAUGUAGAACGGCUACGAUUAGUGACUCUCGAAGUUCGCACCUUUCAACUGGAUCAAGCGAUUGGCUGAUGAGAGAUCGGAUUAGCCGAGUUCAGAACCUCUACUAUAGAAUCGGUUCGGCUAGAUAAGCCGAAUGUACGAAAAAUACUGAAAUUUGGGUCGGCUGAUGAGCCGAAUAGAUGGAAUACACAGUGACUGAUCGGCUGAAAGAGUCGAAUACCUUUAUAUAUUAAAAUGAAGCUGGAAACUCAUACAAAACAGAGUGUGCCCGAAGGGCAUACAGACUCUGAAAAUCUAGAUUACAACAGUGUUUCCGUGGGGCAUAUAGACUCCAGAGAUCUAACUUAAAAACUACUCUAGGAAAGCAAUAAAUGCGAGUAGAAAAGAUUAGAUGUAGGCUACUACUAGAAAACGAUAAAUGUAAGAAAGAAAAGUAUUGAAAAUGCGGAGCUUUUCUCGUUCAUGGGAGAGAAACACGCCUAUUAUAGGCUUCAAAGUUAUUAUUUAUAAUAUCUUAUCCGCCCACAUUAUUGGUUGGUUAUAGUAGUGGGGAAAGUGGUGUAGCCAUAAUCAUGGAAAUUACGUCCCACUUCUCAUGAAAGUUACACUCCAUUUUUUAUGAAAGUUACGCCCCACUUCUUAACCGUUCCCGCCUAAUUAAACGGUCUAGACCUUCAGGCGCCACGCCCAACUUCUCAACUAUUCCCGCCUAAAUGCUCUAAACCUUCAGGCGCUUUAUUGUCGACUUCUGGUGUACCACGUGUCCUUAUUUCUUUGACUCAUACGUGGGUUAAAUCGACUUGUUAAUUUUUUGGUACCAACAUAUAUAUUCAAAAGUGAGUAUGUAUUUUAAAAUUCAUCUAUCUAAGGAAUAAAUAUCACUCACUAAUUAUUUAAUAUGAUUAAUGAUUAAUAAAAACACUUAAUUUGAUAGAUGAAUGGUAUUUUUAUAUACAUUUUAAUCUAAGUAUAUAAAUAAUAUUUAGUUUAUAUACAUAUAGAUUUGCACAUAGUAUUAGUGACAUUUAUAGAUGUUGCUAAAUGUGUAAGAAAUGUGACUAAAUCUUUUAGCAACACUUAACUUUUAGUGUUGUCUAUGCCCGUGUUGUUGAAUCUUUUAACAAUAUAUGGAGAGAAUGUUGGUGAUACUAAAAAAUUAGCAACAAUUAACAAAUGUUGCUAAAUAAAAAUUUUAAAAGAGCAAUUAUUAAAUGGUGGUGCAUAUUGUUUAAAUAAUUUUUGUAUUAAUUUAGUUAUUAUUUUUUAUAUUAAAUAAAAAUAUUUUAUUAAUUAUAAAUUUUGAUAUUAAUUAAAUUAAAAUAUUAUUAAUUUCUUAUUAAUUAUUAUAAUUAUAGUUAAUAAUAACCAAAUAUUACUAAACAAUCACGUAUAAUAGUAUUUUGAAUUAUUGGUAAAAACACAUUUGAAAUAAAAAAAAAAUUGAGUUUCCUCAUAAUUACGAAUUUGAUCACGACAAAAUUAAAAAUUAGUCAUCCUUAUUCGUUGUAGAAGUCUCCAAAAUGCUUGAAUAAAACAAUCUUGUAACCUUUAUUUAUUUACCCUGUAAAAAGAAAAGGUUAAGAAUUAAAAUUUUAUACAAUUUAUCAUAAAAUAUAAGAUACUAUGAACUACUAAAAGAUAAAAUAUAUUGCCCUUACCAAAUCAUAAAAGAUCAUAUAUUUGCUCUUACAUCUUGAAAAUUAAUGAUAUUUCCCAAAAAAAUAAAGAAAAAGUAUCAAAUUAAAAUAAUAGCAAUGUAAUAACCACAAAUUUAAUAUCUAAAAGUAAAAUGUAAAAAAAAAAUUUUAUGAAAGUUAAGAAACAAAAAACCUCAUAUCAUACCAUAUACAACAAUAAAUGAAUCAAAAGGUCGAAGGGCAAUCCUAUUCUAGUCAUACUAAACUUUAUUAGUUAAUGAAAAAAAAAAAGAAAAUUUCAAAUCUAUAAUUUUGACUAGAAGUUAAUAUGAAAUUGAUUUAUCUUAUAAGAAAGGGAUACUUACCUAUCUUUAGAAACAAAAUUGAUAAUCCGAUACUAAUAGUUUUUCCUCCAAUCUUCCAAAAUAAAAAAAAAAAAAAAUAGUGAGAAGGACUUUAUGGAAUUAAGGAAUAAAAGAAGAAACCAUGAAAGUAAAAAAUCUCUUGAGAGUUUAAAGUGAAGAGACAAAGAAAUGGGAGAGAGAUGGAAAGAAAUAACACUAAAAGGAGGGAAAGAUGAAAUUUUAAAAAUUUGGAGGGAUUUUUAAAAUUUGAAAAACUCAUCGUCAUUUAUCACCAAAAAUGUUGCUAAAUAUUGCAACAUUUAAUACUUAGUGUUGGUGUUAUUUGUAUUUAGCAACAUUUAUAUCUAAAUAUUGGUAAAUAAAUACAUUUAGCAACACGAAUAAAUAAAUGUUGCUAAAUUUUAUAAUUUGUGUGACUUAGUCAAAUGUUGCUAGUUAAAUGUUGCUAAAAGUUAAAUUUCUUGUUGUGUAUUUACUAUUUAGUAUUACUAUAUCAACUGAAACAAAAAAACUUUUCAACAACUCUUGUCUUUGUUAGCUAACAAAUAAAAUCAGUCCACAAAAAAAAAAAAAAAAAAAAAAAAAAAAAAAAAAAAACCUCAGUUAGCACAUAAAUAAAACGAAUCCACAUGUAGAUCCCCCGUUCUGAGAUGACUCGAUCUCUCAACUCAAUUUUCUUUUACUUGCGACUUCAUUAAAUUUUAAUUUUUUGAAACUUAAGUGAUUAUAGUUAUUGGCGCCAAAGAAAUCGCGCCACGUAAUAAGCCAGGGUGCACCGCAGUCAGAGCCUUUAAAGCCAGAGAUAAGUAACAGAUGGUGCACUAAGAACAGAGAAAGAACCGCAUUAAACCGAAAAGUAGUUAAAGUCCAUGCAGUUAUAUGUCGUUAAUAUCGGCUAGUAAUGGCCCACGAAAUUGGGAAAGUGGCCGAUCAUAGAAAUAACUGAAUAACAACAUGUGGACUAUAAAUAAAAAAUAAAUAGAAGAUGCCCGGAAGAGAAGUUUUUUUCCUUGAAAACGAGAAGAUCAAUUUUCAUAUUUCUCACAUUUUAUCGUUUUUCUAGGAGUAGUCUAUUUGUAAAUCUUUUACUUUUCUCGCACUACUGUUAUUUCGUAGGAGUAGUUGAUAGAAUAGAUUCUCUUUUUGCUCUUUCUUGUAAAUAUUUUUCAAAUCUAAGCAAUAUAAGCUUCGUUCGGUUCUUCAGCCGAAUCAGAAAAUUCUGUAUAAUUUGCAUACUUACCUGAUACAGCCGAGCCGAAUUUGUUAUAUUGCAUCGAACUUUGUUGAUCUGAUCCCUCAUCAAACGAAUCGCUUGAUCUAUAGUGGGCGCAAACUUUGAGGGUCAUCAUUCGUAGUCGUCUCAUCUCCUCGCGCGCAUCCGGAGAAUCUUUGACCGGGUUAGCGGUCUGAGAUUUCGGUUCACAGCAAUAGUUAAAUGCAUUAAGAAUUUUAUUAAAACAAUUGUUAAUAGGGUUAAUUGCAUACACCUCUCUGUAAACAUAUCAAAUAACAAAUAUAUUCAUAUAAAGUUCAACUUUUCGAAUUUAUCCUAUAAAGAUACUAAACGUUUUCAAAUAUACCCCCACUGUUAGAAUCCGUUUGAAAAAUAUAGUUAACCAUAGAUAAAAUAUCUAAUCCUAGUUAUUUAAUAACGUAAAUUGACCUUUGUACCCCCCUUAUAUUAUUUGUGAUGGCAGAAAAAGAGAAGAUAACGGUUGAAAAUUUUUGGGAGGAUAUUUCAAUAUAGUUUUAACAGUUAAAAUUUUUAAAGAGACAUAUUUAUAUUGGCAAAAAUGUCAUUUUACUUAUUUUUUGUUAAAAAAAUCGAUAGUUGUCACGCCCCGGAUGUCUCGUUCCCCGGGCACACCGACAAACCCGCCGUAUACAAAGGAGUUUCCUCUGUACACGAAGCGACAGCUGCACCUGUAAACAUACAAUACUACAAACAGUAGUAUAGAGCUGCUAGAGAAAACAAAAGCUAAACAAACUGAGUUUCAUAUACAUAGCUCAAAUCCAAAAUACAGAGUUACUUGCACUGGCGAGUUAGGUAAACUAUGUACAUAAACUCGAAACAAAACAUCUACCUGCAGUAGGGGUGCCUCUAGCUCUGCUCGUCGGGUAGGGCUCUAACCCGCGACGCCCUUGCCUCGAUCCUGAUCCGCGGAAGGCGCAGUAGCCGAAACCUGUGGCUCUGCAAAACAGGGGUAACAACUGGGCGUGAGAACUACUGUAAAAACAAGUAGUCCUCAGUGGGUACCGCCCAAAACAACAUCGGUCCACCCACUAAGUCUACAGAAGGGAGCAAGAGUAGUCAGAAAAGCAGGAAGUAAACUCUACCGCUAUCGAUCACUACACUAUCAUGCUCUACACUAACCAACUGUAGUAAAUGUCAAAUCUGACCCAAUCCAAUCGGGACUGUAAGCAUACCCGUCCCCGGGACUGUGAAUACACCCGUCCCUGCCCCGUUGCGACUAUCAGGCUCUAUCCACACUAACUGGUCCGUGGAGAGCAAGUCCAACUGGCAUGAGCGACACCAACGCGAAAGCACAAAGCCUGACUCCGGAGUGGCACUCGUGGGCGCUACCCAACCGAGUAUGCAGCGUAUCUCUGUCGAGCUCAAUCAGGCUCUGAAAAGCCAAAGUCAAGUAACCAACUCAAACUGGUCUAAUAACCAACAGGUAACGUGCCCUCAGCACAAUCUGACGCCAAAAAGGCGAUACGGGUCCACCGUCAACCCUGACGGCACCCAACAGUCCGGAACAACCUGAACGACCCUGUAAAAAUCCACUCGGCACACCAGCACGAGCGUAAAUAUAUUCUAAACUACCUGAAGUACUCGUCUCGAAGAUACUGCGACAGUACAAUUUUAUAACGGCUCCUAGAGCUAAAUCAGGCAGUUUAAACAUGUGACAGGUCCAAAUCGCAGGUUUUCUCCUAAUUCAAAUUCCAAGUCCAACAUGUAUAAACUACUCAAUUUAAUACCACAUGCUCCAAAUUCAGAUUUGCUAUCUAUAACAAAAUCCAUGAAUUCGAGCUAAAGUAAACUAUAUAAAAUCUGAAAUUACACAUGUUGACUAUUGCGCACUUAGGAGUAUAAGCCGAUCAUUAACCCACCUUAGUCGCUAAUUCCUAGCAGCGAGGAAGUCCCGAAGCAAAGGAACACCCUGCUGGAUCAAUCCGCAAACCUCCAAAGGCCAGAAAUCACGCUCCCGCCAAACUCUACACGUAAAAUCCGAAAAUGAGCACCGAUUCUGCCUCAAAAACAGCAGCAGAGAAGAGAAUAAUUCCGACCAAGAAAACCUCCACCAAAACCAGCAAGUAAGGGCUUCGUGGAUUCCUCUCGAAGUCCCGAAUCCAACGAACCAAGUCUCGUCGAAAUCCGCUGCUCCUACGUCGAGAGGGAGCCGAAACGGCGACGGUCGACGCUGAAAAUUCUGCAAAUCAGCACCAAGCUCGAAAUGACAAUACUUGAAGCAAUGCAACGGAACACUCACCUCAAAGGCUAAUUGAACAUCGACGCGGCGGUGAGAACGACGAAAACGCACCCUCACCUAGCUUCCUCGUAGCGCUACGAUGACGAAGACCUGCUCGAACGGCACCGUGGCGCGACGUCGGCGUCGAUCCGAGCUCCACGACAACUCCACCCGAGCUCGAGCUCUCCACCUUGCCCACGAGCUAAAUUAAGGAGGGAUAGAGAGAGAAGGCUAAUUAGUUUUCAAUGGGUUGAGUUGAUAAGUAUCAAGAGGGAGUUGGUGAGAUACUUAUCCACCAACUCAAAAGAUUUUUUUUUUUUCCUCACCAACUCAAAAGCUAAGGGUACUACAUCCUCCCUCACUACAAAAAGUUUCGUCCUCGAAACUUAAAACAUACCUCAAGACGAGGAAGCGAACAAGUCGGGGUAGGACUCCCUCAUCACUGUCUCAGGCUCCCAAGUCGCCUCCCGCUCCUCGUGAUUGCUCCACUGCACUUUCACAUACGGGAUGGCCCGAUUGCGCAAUUCUUUCGUCUCCUAAGCAAGAAUUCGCAAUGGUCGCUUCUCGUAUCUCAGAUCCUCGCUAAUCUCUAGUGGAGUGAAGUCAAUCACGUGAGAGGGAUCGAAAAUAUAUCUCCUCAAUGCUGAGACGUGGAAGACAUCGUGAAUGCCAGCUAGUCGCGGGGGUAGAGCGAUCCUGUAUGCAACCGGUCCGAUACGCUCUAAUACCUCGAAAGGGCUAACAAACCGUGGACUAAGCUUUCCACGUACUCCAAAUCGGCGUAUCCCUCUGGACGGCGAGACUUUGAGGAAAACAUGAUCUCCAACCUGAAACUCCAAGUCUCGUCUCCUGGUAUCGGCGUAGCUCCUCUGUCGGCUCUGUGCAGUCAAAAGGUGUCGUCGAAUGAUUCUCACCUUUUCCUCAGCCUCAAGUAGAAUGUCCAGUCCAAGUGUCCUCCGCUCACCCACAUCGCUCCAAAAUAGGGGGGAUCGACAUCUGCGUCCAUACAACGCCUCAAACAGAGCCAUCUGAAUGCUCGUUUGAUAGCUGUUGUUGUACGCAAACUCAACAAGUCUCACAUGUCGAUACUACCCUCCUCCAAAAUCCAGGACGCAUGCCCUCAGCAUGUCCUCUAGAGUCUGUAUGGUCCACUCCGACUGACCAUCUGUCUGUGGGUGGAACGCCGUGCUAAAAUGCAGCUGAGUGCCCAAGGCGGUCUGAAAGCUCCUCCAAAACUGGGAUACAAACCUCGGAUCUCUGUCUGAUACAAUCGACACUGGCACGCCGUGCAGCCUAACGAUCUCAUCCAAGUAUAGCUGCGCAAGUCUCUCUCUGGACCAGGUAGUCAGAACCGGUAGGAAGUGAGCAGACUUGGUCAGUCUGUCCACUAUCACCCAAAUCGCAUCGUAGCCACCCUGCGCUCUAGGCAAUCCAACGACGAAAUCCAUUGUGAUCUGCUCCCACUUCCACUCGGGCACUGGCAGACUCUGAAGCUUGCCAGCAGGUACCUGAUGCUCGGCUUUCACCUGUUUGCAAGUCAAACACUGAGUCACAUAUCUGCCAAUGUCCCUCUUCAUUCCAUUCCACCAAAACCGUGCUUUUAGAUCCUUAUACAUCUUGGUUCCACAUGGAUGAACCGUAUAAGGAGAACAAUGAGCCUCUUUCAGAAUGUCUGCUCGGAUCUCAGAAUCCACAGGCACACACAGUCGGUCCCUGUACCGUAGUACUCUCGAACCGUCCAAAGCAAAACCCUCAGCCUGCCCCCUGUCUAGCUGCUCUCUAAUCCUCACCAAGUACGGAUCUCCACUCUGUUUCUCUCGGAUCCUAUCCAACAGAGUGGGCUGUAAAACUAGAGACAUCAGCCUUGCCGUAGACCCAGGGGGUACUAUCUCGAGUCCCAACCACUGUAGCUCCUCGAGUAGGGGUCUCUGCUCAGUAAUCCUCAAACUCAGGCUCUGCACUGACUUCCUGCUCAAUGCAUCUGCCACAACAUUCGCCUUGCCGGGAUGAUACUGAACACUAAUGUCAUAGUCCUUCAGUAACUCCAACCACCGGCGCUGCCUCAGGUUCAGCUCUCUCUGUGUGAACAGAUACUUGAGACUUUUAUGAUCGGUGAAGACCUCGCAGUGCUCGCCGUACAAGUAAUGCCGCCACAACUUCAAAGCAAAAACUACUGCGGCAAGCUCCAAAUCAUGCGUAGGGUAAUUCUUCUCAUAAUCCUUUAACUGCCGUGAAGUAUAAGCAAUCACCCUACCAUGCUGCAUCAGCACGCAACCAAGUCCAUUGUGCGAUGCAUCACUGUAGUUCACGAAUCCUUCCCCCAUCACCGGAAGGGCAAGGAUAGGAGCUGACGUCAACCUCUAUCUCAACUCGUCAAAGCUCCUCUGACAGUCGUCGCUCCAGACAAAACGAAUCCCCUUCCGCAUCAAGCGUGUGAGGGGUGUGGAAAGCUUCGCAAAGCCUUCCACAAACCGACGGUAAUAUCCUGCCAGUCCCAGGAAGCUCCGUACCUCAGUCACCGUCGUCGGUCUAGGCCAAUCUCGAAUCGCCUCAAUCUUCUUCGGGUCCACUGCUACGCCCUCGGCUGAAAUCACGUGGCCCAAGAAAGCAACCUCCCGUAGCCAGAACUCGCACUUCUUUAACUUGGCAUACAACUUCUUCUCGCGCAGAAGCUGUAGCACAAUCCUCAAGUGCUCCUCAUGCUCAGCAUCACUCCGGGAGUAAAUCAGGAUAUCGUCGAUGAAGACUACCACAAACCUAUCCAAGAACGGCUUGAACACUCUGUUCAUCAAAUCCAUGAAUGCGGCAGGGGCAUUCGUCAAUCCAAAAGGCAUCACCGUGAACUCAUAAUGCCCGUACCGAGUCCGAAAAGCCGUCUUGGGAACAUCCUCGGCCCUCACCCUCAGCUGGUGGUAACCUGACUGGAGAUCAAUCUUCGAAAAGACACAAGAUCCUUGCAGCUGAUCGAAUAGAUCAUCAAUGCGCGGCAGAGGAUACUUGUUCUUGAUGGUCACUUUAUUCAGCUCCCGGUAAUCCACACAUAACCUGAGCGAACCAUCCUUCUUCUUUACAAAUAACACCGGCGCUCCCCAAGGCGACACACUGGGUCUCACAAACCCUCUAUCCAUCAGAUCCUGAAGUUGCGCCUUUAGCUCUCUCAGCUCUGCCGGUGCCAUCCUGUAAGGUACCUUUGAGAUUGGUGCAGUUCCAGGAACUACAUCAAUCACAAACUCAAUCUCCCUCUCCGGCGGCAAUGUCGUCAACUCAGGGGGAAACACAUCCGAAAACUCGCGGACUACUGGGAUGUCCUCGAGUCUCGGCGCCGCCGUAGGUACCUCCACAACUGUCGCUAGGAAAGCGAUACACCCACUGCUCAGCAUCUGUCGAGCCCUCGCCGAAGAUAUCCAGGUGGCAAACAGCGUGCUCCUGCAGCCUCUGAAAGUAAACUCCUCCUGGCCUGGCUCGCGGAACGUCACCGUCCUCGCUCCACAGUCGAUCGUAGCAUAGUACCGCGCCAGCCAAUCCAUACCGAGCACUACGUCGAAGUCCUGCAGCUGCCCUAACACCAACAGGUCUGCGGGCAUGAUCCAAGAGUCUAACUGCACCGGACAGGACCAACAACACUCUGUAACCUGCAAGACAUGGUCGGGGAUCUGCACCUCUCGUGCCUGAGACAACGCUCCUAACUCUAGACCAUGCAACAAUGCAAAUGCUCGGCUAACAAAGGAAUGCGAUGCACCGGUAUCAAAAAGAGUGCGAACUCUAAUGCCAGAAAUCAAAGUGAUACCUGCCACCACUCGGUCGGCUGCUGUAGAGUCCUCCACCUGAGCUGGAUAGACCCUGCCACUCGGAGCCUGCUGUCGCCGCUCACCCGACAGCGGCACCGACGAUCUGUCCUCCUGGCGGUAACUCUGUGCUGCUCCGUAAGACUGCUGUGGUGCUGGUGGUGCUGAAGCUGAUGAUGGUGCUGGAGAUACUGCUCGGGGACAAACUGCCCUCAUGUGUCCCGGCUGACCACACCCGUAACACCGGCCCUCCCUCUGCUCACACUGUCGGGGCCAGUGUGGUCCCCCGCAGAUCACACACUGCGGCGUCCUCUGAGUCUGUCCCUGCUGACGGGAUCCCCUGGAACGCUGACGCCCCGAAGACCCACGACCCUGAGAACGUGAUCGUGGAGGUCUCGGCGGACGUCUGCUGCUCGACUGUCCUCCAUCAUCUGGAAAGGGGCGCUUCCUGUCCUGACCCUGCCCCACGGCCUGAGUCCUCUCCUGCAGCAACACCUCACCUCUCUCUACCCAUAGGGCCUGCUCUAUGGAUGCAUCCAGGGUCCUCGACCUCUGCGCCCGCGCUAACCUGAAGAUGUCCGGUCUCAGCCCCUGCUCGAACAUGUACACCCUGUGCGCCUCGUCUCUGGCCACAAAUGGCACACAGUUCAGGAGUCAAGUAAACUCCCGAACGUACUCCUGCACUGGACGAUCUCCCUGCUGAAGCCUCCUCAAAUCCUCCUCGAGCUUCUGCUUCACACUGUUGGGAAAGAACAUCCCAAACAGCAUUCCACAGAACUGAUCCCACCUCAGCUGCGCCGCCACCAGCCCCUGAUCUCGCCUCGCUCUCCGCCACCAGUCGUGAGCAUCACCUGCUAAACAGUGUACUCCCAGAGGUACCUGCUCCCUCUCCGGAAUGAAUAGAUCCUCAAAUAGCUUCUCCAUCGCACUGACCCAUCCCUUAACAACCCAGGCCUCAGUGCAUCUGCCAUUGUAAAUCGGUGGAUCAAAACGGCGAAAACGAGCCAACCUCUCUGUCCACCUCUCCUGCUCGGCCUCUGUCAACUGUACGGGCCCCCUAGCAUGCGCAACUGGCGCUGUAGGAAGCUCCACUGGUGGGGGCAUAGCUGUGGCUAGAACUGACGCUGGAGUAGUCGGUGGCGGAACAGUCUGCUCUGGUACUCUCGGUGCAGCACUCGGUGUCUGAGCCACCCUCUCACACAACCUCUGCAACAACUCCCCCUGCUGCCUCGUCACCUUAGUCAAGGCUGCCAACUGUGCACUCAGGUCAGGGGGUGCGCUAGCCUCAAGUCGCACACUCGGCUCCACAACAGGGGGUGCCCUCGCCUCCGGUCUGUCACCCUGCUCCAUCUGCUCAGGUCUCUCAAAAGGUCCUGCACAAUCCCGCGCCAACUGGGCACGCUCCCGCAACGACGGUCGACCUCGGCGACGAUACAUAGCUGAAAAGAACAGAUCGGAGUCAGUUGAAACACAAACACUCUCGACCCAAUCAACGAAAGUCUGGAAGGCGGUCCCUGUUUCCCUCCAAAAUUAUGUCGUCUGCAGCCAACAUAAUUUCUCAGGCCAAAACAAGUACUCCUUCAGUCACUCACUCUACUCUAGGAGGAGUUUAGAAUAAAUAAUCAUUGACUUUCGCAAUUAAAUUAUGCCUCUCGCAUCUUGCUUUCCUAAAGUUUGCCAAACUUAGGUUUCCUAGGUCCCAACGACCUAAUGCUAAGCUCUGAUACAAACUUAAUUUGUCACGCCCCGGAUGUCUCGUUCCCCGGGCACGCCGACAAACCCGCCGCAUACAAAGGAGUUUCCUCUGUACACGAAGCGACAGCUGUACCUGUAAAUAUACAAUACUACAAACAGUAGUAUAGAGCUGCUAGAGAAAAUAAAAGCUAAACAAACUGAGUUUUAUAUACAUAGCUCAAAUCCAAAAUACAGAGUUACUCGCACUGGCGAGUUAGGUAAACUAUGUACAUAAACUCGAAACAAAACAUCUACCUGCAGAAGGGCACCUCUAGCUCAGCACGUCGGGUAGGGCUCUAACCCGCGACGCCCUUGCCUCGAUCCUGAUCCGCGGACGGUGCAGCAGCCGGAACCUGUGGCUCUGCAAAAACAUAGGUAACAACUGGGCGUGAGAACUACUGUAAAAACAAGUAGUCCUCAGUGGGUACCGCCCAAAACAACAUCGGUCCACCCACUAAGUCUACAGAAGGGAGCAAGAGUAGUCAGAAAAGCAGGAAGUAAACUCUACCGCUAUCGAUCACUACACUAUCAUGCUCUACACUAACCAACUGUAGUAAAUGUCAAAUCUGACCCAAUCCAAUCGGGACUGUAAGCAUACCCGUCCCCGGGACUGUGAAUACACCCGUCCCUGCCCCGUUGCGACUAUCAGGCUCUAUCCACACUAACUGGUCCGUGGAGAGCAAGUCCAACUGGCAUGAGCGACACCAACGCGAAAGCACAAAGCCUGACUCCGGAGUGGCACUCGUGGGCGCUACCCAACCGAGUAUGCAGCGUAUCUCUGUCGAGCUCAAUCAGGCUCUGAAAAGCCAAAGUCAAGUAACCAACUCAAACUGGUCUAAUAACCAACAGGUAACGUGCCCUCAGCACAAUCUGACGCCAAAAAGGCGAUACGGGUCCACCGUCAACCCUGACGGCACCCAACAGUCCGGAACAACCUGAACGACCCUGUAAAAAUCCACUCGGCACACCAGCACGAGCGUAAAUAUAUUCUAAACUACCUGAAGUACUCGUCUCGAAGAUACUGCGACAGUACAAUUUUAUAACGGCUCCUAGAGCUAAAUCAGGCAGUUUAAACAUGUGACAGGUCCAAAUCGCAGGUUUUCUCCUAAUUCAAAUUCCAAGUCCAACAUGUAUAAACUACUCAAUUUAAUACCACAUGCUCCAAAUUCAGAUUUGCUAUCUAUAACAAAAUCCAUGAAUUCGAGCUAAAGUAAACUAUACAAAAUCUGAAAUUACACAUGUUGACUAUUGCGCACUUAGGAGUAUAAGCCGAUGAUUAACCCACCUUAGUCGCUAAUCCCCAGCAGCGAGGACGUCCCGAAGCAAAGGAACACCCUGCUGGAUCAAUCCGCAAACCUCCAAAGGCCAGAAAUCACGCUCCCGCCAAACUCUACACGUAAAAUCCGAAAAUGAGCACCGAUUCUGCCUCGAAAAUAGCAGCAGAGAAGAGAAUAAUUCCGACCAAGAAAACCUCCACCAAAACCAGCAAGUAAGGGCUUCGUGGAUUCCUCUCGAAGUCCCGAAUCCAACGAACCAAGUCUCGUCGAAAUCCGCUGCUCCUACGUCGAGAGGGAACCGAAACGGCGACGGUCGACGCUGGAAAUUCUGCAAAUCAGCACCAAGCUCGAAAUGACAAUACUUGAAGCAAUGCAACGGAACACUCACCUCAAAGUCUAAUCGAACAUCGACGCGGCGGUGAGAACGACGAAAACGCACCAUCGCCUAGCUUCCUCGUAGCGCUACGAUGACGAAGACCUGCUCGAACGGCACCGUGGCGCGACGUCGGCGUCGAUCCGAGCUCCACGGCAACUCCACCGGAGCUCGAGCUCUCCACCUUGCCCACGAGCUAAAUUAAGGAGGGAUAGAGAGAGCAGGCUAAUUAGUUUUCAAUGGGUUGAGUUGAUAAGUAUCAGGAGGGAGUUGGUGAGAUACUUAUCCACCAACUCAAAAGAUUUUUUUUUUUUUCCUCACCAACUCAAAAGCUAAGGGUACUACAAUAGUACUCUAAUGGUAACAAAUCAGAGGAAUAAAUAUAAAUAUCAUUAAUUUUUUGUAGAGAUAAAUAUGAAAAGUUGAAUUUUAUAGGGAUAUAUUUACUAUUCGAUAGAUUUACAGGGAGCCUUAUGAAAUUAACCCAAUUUAAUAACAUUAAUCAUAAUUUAGCAACUAAAAUUAAACCAAUUAACAUUUGAUAAAGAAUAAAAUAAUUUAAUUUCUGGAAUCUUCAACUCAAACUAGAUUUAAUAUAUAACUUGUAUAAAUAUUAUAAAUUGAGGGUUCUUAAUUUUUUUUUUUUUAAAGUUGAGGGGCUAUUUCAAAAUUGUCUACUGGCUAGGGUCUUCGUACCUUCUUAAAAAAAAUGAAAAACACUAUUGCUAUGAUGUAAAUGGAGAAAGGAGAAUUGAAGCAAUAAUUUUAGAGGAAAACCACUUAUACAAUCUAAAAAUUAGAUGUAAAUCCUGAAUCCAACCUAUCCAACAGUUUAGAUAAUUUUUUCAAUUUUUGGGUAUUAAAAAAAAAGGUGUCAGGCCUAAUUUCAGUAACUUAACAGGUCACUUUUAUAUGCAAAAAUUUAUAGCUAAUUUGCUUACACAAUUCCCUAGUUUUGUAUUUUUAUAAAAAAUAGAUUAUUUUUUUAAUUUUAUAAAUUAAAUCUAAAUUUUUAGUAAACUAAUCAAAACAAUUUUAUUCCUCUUUUUCUCUCUUUUCUUUCUCCUAUUCGUUUUCCUUCGUCCUCUUGGUCUCCUUCCUUGUCGUUCCUUUAUCUUUCUCCUCUUUCUUCUCAUCCUUCUCCUUCUCCUUCACUACCCCUACAUCGAUGUCAUGCUUCUCUCUCCUAUUUUGUUCACACCUCUACCGAUGCUGGCAGCAGCGAAGUGGGUUCAGAUGUGCCGCAAAUUGUGGGGGUGAAGCUGGCAGCCAUGGAUGGCAAUAGCAAUAAGGGUACCACAGGAUUUGAAGAUAACAAUAAGGGAGAGUGCAUUGGGGUAGGGGUGGCUAUUGCGAUAGAGGGCGAGGGACUCUAGUAGAAAAUGAAUACAAAAGGUGAAAGAAAAAGAAGAAACAAUAUAUAAUUUUUUUUUAUCCUAGAAAGACCGUCAUGUGUCAUGGCCCGCUACAAAAAAGGCCACUAAAUAGAGAAGAAAGAGGAAAAAGAAGAAGUUACAUUAUUUGAAACCAAAGUUGUACUAUUUGAAAAAAUCUCAAAUAGUUUUAAAUAAUGCAAUUUAAAUAUUAAAUAGUGCAAGUUCAUUUCAAACAGUACAACUUCUUUUUAUUCUUUCUUCUCUACUUGUUGUCCUUCUUCGUAGAAACCGCGACAUAUGGUGGCCUACCUAAAAAAAGAAAAAUAUAUAUUUUUAUUUUUUUUUUCACUUUUGCAUCCUUUUUCGUAGAAACCGCGACACAUGGCGGCCUACCUAAAAAAAGAAAAAUAUAUAUUUUUUUUAUUUUUUUUCACUUUUUGCGAUCCAUUUAAUCCUACCAUGCGCCCCGGCCCCCCGCCACUACUACUCCCGCCCCCCCCGCCAUAGCCAUCUACCGCAGCAACCGGCCCUUGCCCGAACACGCUCUCCCUCUUUGUCAUCCUUAAAUCCGCAAGCACUCUCGUCGUCGUUGUCAUCCACGAUCACGCCGUCUGCUGUAGUCUCAACUCCGCAAUAUAUGCCAUAUCUAAACCCACAUCAUUGUCACUAGAGUUGUCAAAAGCAUGGGUGAAAUAGAAGAGAAAAGCGCGAUGUCGAUGUGGGAGCGUUGAAGGAGGAGGAGAUGGGAAAAAAAGUAGGAGGAGAAAGAGACGAAGAAACAUCGAGAAGCAGGGAGACAAAGAGGACGGAGAAAAACAAACUAGAGAGAACCUUAUGGUUUCAUUUUUUCUUUUCUGUCAGCACAUCCUUUAACUCUCUGUUAAAUCAUAUAUAAAAAAAUUUCAGACAGCUUACAUAUGGUUUGUCGAAUGUUUACUUUAGAAUCCUGUGGUUUGUCGAAUUUUCACUUUUGUAACAUAUGAUUUUAACUUUAUCACUGAUUUAACGGAAAAAUUAACAGAGGGGAUACUAAAAGGAUAUAUUUUAAACCAUAGAAUACUUAAAUGAGUAAGCAUGAAACCGCAUAUGUGAUAUUUGAAGUUUUUGUAUUUUUUAUGUUGGACGACGAAAAAGUAAAGAUACUUUUUAUUGUCCCCAAUUUAUUCCGAAAUUAGACUAGAGAUGUUAACGGGUUGGAUUGUGGGCGGAUUUUCAAAAACCCGAAUCUGGACCCGACUCCAAACCCGAGAUUCGAAUCCGAAUCCGAUCUCGACAGAUUUUAAAAAUUCCAUAUUCAAAUCUGAACCCGACAAAAAAUCCAAAGGUUGAACCCAAACCCAACCCGAAACAAUUAUUUCUUUUUUCAAUAUUUCAAGAUAUAUUACAUUAAAUCAAAAUUUUUAAAAUACAAAUUCAAAUAUAACAUCAAAUAUAUAUAUAUAUAUAUAUAUAUAUAUAUAUAUAUAUAUAUAUAUAUAUAUAUAUAUAUAUAUAUAUAUAUAUAUAUAUAUAUAUAUAUAUNNNNNNNNNNNNNNNNNNNNNNNNNNNNNNNNNNNNNNNNNNNNNNNNNNNNNNNNNNNNNNNNNNNNNNNNNNNNNNNNNNNNNNNNNNNNNNNNNNNNNNNNNNNNNNNNNNNNNNNNNNNNNNNNNNNNNNNNNNNNNNNNNNNNNNNNNNNNNNNNNNNNNNNNNNNNNNNNNNNNNNNNNNNNNNNNNNNNNNNNNNNNNNNNNNNNNNNNNNNNNNNNNNNNNNNNNNNNNNNNNNNNNNNNNNNNNNNNNNNNNNNNNNNNNNNNNNNNNNNNNNNNNNNNNNNNNNNNNNNNNNNNNNNNNNNNNNNNNNNNNNNNNNNNNNNNNNNNNNNNNNNNNNNNNNNNNNNNNNNNNNNNNNNNNNNNNNNNNNNNNNNNNNNNNNNNNNNNNNNNNNNNNNNNNNNNNNNNNNNNNNNNNNNNNNNNNNNNNNNNNNNNNNNNNNNNNNNNNNNNNNNNNNNNNNNNNNNNNNNNNNNNNNNNNNNNNNNNNNNNNNNNNNNNNNNNNNNNNNNNNNNNNNNNNNNNNNNNNNNNNNNNNNNNNNNNNNNNNNNNNNNNNNNNNNNNNNNNNNNNNNNNNNNNNNNNNNNNNNNNNNNNNNNNNNNNNNNNNNNNNNNNNNNNNNNNNNNNNNNNNNNNNNNNNNNNNNNNNNNNNNNNNNNNNNNNNNNNNNNNNNNNNNNNNNNNNNNNNNNNNNNNNNNNNNNNNNNNNNNNNNNNNNNNNNNNNNNNNNNNNNNNNNNNNNNNNNNNNNNNNNNNNNNNNNNNNNNNNNNNNNNNNNNNNNNNNNNNNNNNNNNNNNNNNNNNNNNNNNNNNNNNNNNNNNNNNNNNNNNNNNNNNNNNNNNNNNNNNNNNNNNNNNNNNNNNNNNNNNNNNNNNNNNNNNNNNNNNNNNNNNNNNNNNNNNNNNNNNNNNNNNNNNNNNNNNNNNNNNNNNNNNNNNCUAUAAUUUGACUCUCUCGCUGUUUUCUUUUCUUUUCUUUUCCGACUCUCCUCCACCGUCUCCGACGACGACGUCUCUCUCGCCCUUCCCCGCCCUUCUCGUCUCUCCCUCCCCCUCCUUCUUUGCAGCCUCCGACGACGAUGCAUCUUCGCUGGCGCCGACACUGACACCGUGGAGGUCACUGCGGCUCUGCAGCCUCGGAGCGGGAGAGUCUUUAGCGGCGUCGUCACCAGCGUCGUGGUUGUUGGCAGAGAGGGUGACAAAAAAAAAAUUAUAGAAGAAACAGAUAAAAAAAGAUAAAAAAUUAUAUAAAAAAAGGAUGAAUAUGAAAUUGCAAGUUGCACUACUUAAGAUAUAAACUGCAGCUUUAAGAUGAAAAUUACACUCUUUUGGAGAUAUUUACACUGUUUCUCUUCUUAUUGCACUCUUUCAGAUGUAAACUGCAUCCAUUAAGAUGAAAGUUAUACUUUUUAAACGAAAGUUGCACUGUUUCUCCUCUUAUUGCACCAUUUUUUCUCUUCUUAAACUGUACCAAUUUAAGAGAUAUUUAUACUGCUUCUCCUCUUGUUGCACUAUUUUCCUCUUGUUGCACUAUUUCUCUUUUUGUUAUACUGUUUCUCCUCUUAAAGGGUGCAGUUUAAAAUAAAAAUAAUGUAACAAGAGGAUAAAUAGUGCAAUAAGAGGAGAAACAUUGCAACAAGAGAAAAAAUAGUAUAAAUAUCUCUUAAAGGGGUGCAGUUUAAGAUAAAAAAUAGUGUAACAAGAGGAGAAAUGGUGCAACAAGAGGAGAAACAGUGUAAUUUUCGUUUAAAGAGUGUAAUUUUCAUCUUAAUGGAUGCAGUUUACAUCUGAAAGAGUGCAAUAAGAGGAGAAACAAUAUAAAUAUCUUCCAAAGAGUGUAAUUUUCGUUUAAAGAGUGUANCAAGAGGAGAAACAAUGCAACAAGAGGAGAAGCAGUAUAAAUAUCUCUUAAAUGGGUGCAGUUUAAGAUAAAAAAUAGUGUAACAAGAGGAGAAACGGUGCAACAAGAGGAGAAACGGUGCACUUUCAUUUAAAGAGUGUAAUUUUUAUCUUAGUGGCUACAGUUUAUAUCUGAAAGAGUGCAAUAAAAAGAGAAACAAUGUAAAUAUCUUUCAAAGAGUGUAAUUUUCGUUUAAAGAGUGUAAUUUUCAUCUUAAAGCUGCAGUUUACAUCUUAAGUAGUGCAACUUGUAAUUUUUUUUAUAGUUAACGAUACAAUUUCAUCUUCAUCCUUUUUUUUUCUAUAAUUUUGUAUCUUUAUUUUUUUUCUUGCUUUUUUUAUAUUUUUUUGGUCGCCCCUCUCAGCCAACGGCCACGGCGCCGGCGACGACGUUGCUAAGGACCUCCGGUUCCGAGGCUGCAGCGCCGCAGUGACCUCCACGGUGUCGACGUCGGCGCCGACAAAGAUACAUCAUCGUUGAAGGCGGAGAGGAGGGAAAGGGAGGGACGUGAAGUGCGGGGAAGGGCGAGAGAGACGUCGUCGUCGGAGAUGGUGGAGGAGAGUCGGAGAAGAAAAGAAAAAAAAAAGCAAAAAAAAAAAAAAAGUCGAGGCGCGGCCUCGGCGGAAUCGGAGGCGAGGAAGGUGGGGGAUGCGUGGGCGAGGAAAAGGGUGAGGGCGAGAGCAAAAGGGUGGGAGGCGAGGCGGACCAUUUCCGCCUUUGCCUCUGCCUUCGGUACUUUUUUCGGCGAGAGAAAAAAAGAAAGAAUGAGAGAAACGAAGAGGAGAGAGAAAUAAGAGAGAGAAAAAGUAAUGAGGGUAUUUUGGUCAGUUUGUUGAAAAUUCGGACCGAAUUUGUAAAAAUGAAAAAGGUGAUCGGAUUUAUAAAAGCCCAAAAUAAGUGAAUUUUUUAUGCAAAUUGGCCAAGUUGGGUGGAUAACAUGAAAAAUUGCCAAGAAAAAAAAAAAAAAAAAAAAAAAAAAAAAAAAAAAAAACUGAUGUGGCCGGUUCCUACAUACAUUCUCAACUUCUCUAGAUACCACACAUGAACAAGUAUAAAGUAUGAAAGGUACAGCUGCUGCAGCAGCAAAACAGAUGUUCCCACACUCUGACAACGUAUUAAAGAUACCGACCGUCCCUAGCAUAAGUGGCAAAAGAUUUGGUGGUUGGUACCUGAGGUCCCAAGUUCGAAUCCUUGUUGAUUUAUAUUUCCAACUAAAUUUAUUUCUAAAUAAAAUAAACAAAGCGGGUAGCGUACUAUCUAUCUCUAAAAAAGACAACAUAUUAAAGAUUUCCUUCAUAACAUAAUGAGUGUUUCUCUACAAAACCAAAAAAUAAAUCCGGCUAAAUUACACCUAUGAUACUCAAACUAUGAGGUGCAUAACAUUUUAUUUCUCAAACUUUUAUUUAUUAUAAUUUUUUAUUCAAAUAUUAUAAAUUAUUAUAAUAAAUUUUUAUAAUUUCACUAAAUAUUGACGUCAUUUAUUAUUAUGACAUCAUCAAUCACAACACUAUUUUUUAUAUUAAUGAUACAUUAAUAUUUACUUAAUUAAAUUAGAUUGUGAGAUUUAAUUACAAUAAUUAAUUUAAAAAAUUCAAGCAAAAAUUAAAACAUCAUACAAACCAAAAAUAUAAUUUAGCGNGGUUCUCGUCCUUGCGGAAGCCCUAGGGCCCCGCGUCGCCGUCGAGACCGCUAUUGAUUUCACGUACGUCGUGUUUUACUUCUUCGAGCCAUCCUCUCUUUCUAUAAUUCCUGAUUUGUUUACGGUGAGAUGAAAAUUUUGAUGAAGUUGAAAAGAAACUGGGUCGAUUUUAUCCUACUGAAGAGGUCGAAAAUUUAGAUUAGUUCAAUGAUUGAUUGUUGAUUUACGUUAUUGACAAGUAAUUUUGGGAUAAUAGUAUUAGGGCUAUGUUGAAAUAGACCAGUAUGAUUAUGUUGUGAUUUUCUUGAAGCAUUUACUGGAUUGUUGCAUUAUGACGAUGAAUCUAGUGAAAGUUGGCUUUAUAAUGCCGCAAAUCAGCAUCACAUAAAGUAGUUGAUUGGGCUUAGCCCAAGAAGGAUACUUGAAUAAGAAGAAAGAGCAAACAAAAUUAAGGGGGUGGACAAUGUUUCACUAUCUUAUCAGUAAGAUUCCACUGGCAUGUAAGUAGUGGAGACAAGAAUGAAACAAAUCUGAUAAGCAAGGAUCUAAGUGCCCAUCGACACUGGCCGUUUCUACAGUGACGUAUCGUGCCGACAAGAUAUCGGCAUGAUAUAGUCCCCGUGCCGGUUGCACAGCUCAAAAUUCUCUUUUUUUUAAAUUAAUAAGUAAUUUUCUUAAUAAAGUUUAAAAACUUUGUUGAAGAUAUAUAAUAAGGAAUUAGAAUAUUUUGUUGCCAAAGAAAAUAAAUAUUUCAUGCCAUUAUGUGUUGGCACACUUGUAUGUUUUUUAACCUGCACGCAUUGGCACAGUCCGACACGCGCCGUGCCGAUAAGUUUUCGGCACGACUUCGUGCCACGGCACUUAAAUCCUUGCUGAUAAGAUGAACCUCGACAAACUACAUACUAUCUAAACAAGAAAGAGGAACUUUUUGACCACGUUGAAGCUACUGCACCUAGUUUCUUUCACAUCAGUUGGAAGAUAAGAGACUAGCCUCUGAAUUAGAGGUAAUUAUAACUACUAUGCCCUAUGUGUAAGAAUUUUCAGCGUACUUUAGAAUUUUCAAAAAUUUGGCCUUAGAUUAUUAUCAAAAUUUUUUGCUAUGAUAUUUUGUGCCCGUAGAGCUUCCUUCACUUGUAAUAUAGAAGACAGGGGUAAUCCUUAUAUUAGAUUGGAAGAAAAUCCUAGAUGAUGAAAUAGUUGUUAUUUAUGAUGUGUUCUUGUUUUAGGUUUUUGGGGACCCCAUUCUUUCAUUCAAUGGUUGCGAGAUCUCAAGCUACUCAUUCUGACAUUUCUAUUCUUAUUGAUCCUGAGACCAUUCUCCUGCCUGACAUUUUUACAACUUUGACCUACAUUCACAAACUUAAUUUGGACUGGUUUCUCUUUUCCACUACCCAAAAUAUUUCAUAUUUUCCAUAUCAGUUAGUAGACAAUGGAAUCUGGGUACAAGAAGAUGGUAAGAAGAUAGAAAGUAAGAAGGUACUAAUAAAACUAUAAAACUUUUAGACGAGACCUAUAGAUUUUUGCAGGUGUAUGUGAAAAAAUAAACUGCUAUUUCUUCUUCAACCAGUUGCAGGAAAUUUUGGUUCACAAAUGGACUAAGAGCGCCAGCGGACAGAAGCUUCUUAUGGCAUGGAACUCUGGUGAAUCACCUCUGCAUGCGGGGAUUCUUCCUCCUUUCCUGUAUGGGAAAUGUUUUCAUGAAUUUUGGAUCAUUAAUGAGGUUUUAUCAUCUGAAAUGAGAUUAGUAUUUGAUGCAAGCAAUGUACUAUUCAGUUUCUACCCUGAAAGUCUAGGAAAAUUUUCUAGCAAUUAUUCUGGGGACAGCAACAUUGGGAAUGAAAGGAUUUGGGAGCAUGAAGGAAAUUCCCGUCUUGCUGCACUUUAUGGAUCACUUCACUUCCAAAAUGCCAACCCUCCAAAUGCCCUUUUUAAAAUUUUGAAGUGUUCGGGACAUUAUUAUUUUCUAAAUGAAGCAAAAGGAACAGUUCAAGAAGCUACCAGAUCACAGCUAUUGGGAGGUUCGCUGAACUCUAGGCAUAGGAACUGGAAAGUUUGUGCUAAUGAAAUUAAUUCAAUGAAAAAAGAAAAUCCAUGCUCCCUUUCGCAAUUGCCCAAGCUUGAUUUAGAAAUGCCAGUGACAUUAAAGUUACCUUUCUCUUUGGAAUCACUGUUAGAAAUUGUUGCAGAUAGGGAUAAAAAUGUUGUGCUUGGCAUUGCUGGUGCUAGUUAUCGAGACAUGCUCAUGAGUUGGGCAUGCCGCUUACGCCACCUAGGUGUCUCAAAUAUCUUAAUCUGUGCUCUCGAUUCUGAGACCUAUGAGUUUUCUGUUUUGCAGGUAUAAAGCUCUGAUAUUGCGUUCCUUUUGUUUUGUUGCUCCAUUUUGACUAUUUGUGUAGAUUAACAAAAUAUCUUUUUGCUUAUAGGGUUUGCCAGUCUUUAUGGACUCAAUGUCUCCAAGAAAUGUUAGCUUUGAUGACUGUCACUUUGGUACCGAGUGUUUCCAAAGAGUGACCAAAGUGAAAUCCCGGAUUGUUUUACAGAUACUAAAACUUGGGUACAAUGUGCUAUUGAGUGAUGUCGAUGUCUAUUGGUUCAAUAACCCUCUGCCAUAUCUCCUCUCCUUUGGUCCUGGUACCUUGGUGGCACAAUCAGACGAAUACAAUGAGACUGGUAUUACAUUUUCUCCUUUGAUACAUGCAUAACCUUCCAAAGUCUUUUUGGCUUUUCUUGUUACUAAGAAUUGGUAUUGUUGCUGCAACUAUUUUCAGAUCAAUUGCAAGUAGUUAACAAUGCACUUCAGUCAACUUAAUCCAGUUCUAUUGGAGCAAUAUUCAAUUUGGUUAAGACAUAAGGAUGCCGCCUCAACUGUUGACCAUUUUGAAACAAAUCACUUGAUUAAUUUUGUUUUGAUUGAUACCCCCUCAAUUUUUGGUUUGUUUUGAUAUGAGUUAUUUUCUAUAUUGUAUAGGGAAUUCACUAAAAUUAAUGCCUUUGUUAGCAAUCAGUGCUUAGCAGUUAACGAUAUUCGCAGUUUCAUCAUCAAAAGAGUUUUCCUGAGCAGUCAAAUUUAAUGGAAUUCACCAUUAAAUUUAUCAAAAUCCUCAAUUUAAACAUAAAUCAAUCGAAUGAAAAGUUGACACAGUCUCAAUUACAAGAAAAAUAAUUGAGAAGUUUAUUUCAAAAUGGUCUAUAUAGUUGAGGUUAUCAGUGUAUAUUUUUACUGUUCAAUUUUGUUAAAAACUUAACGGUAUGAUCUAUUUUAAGCACAAUUUGAAAGGGCAUGCCUUGGUCUUCAGGCUCCAGGCAUUGGAUGAAUUUCAUUGUCUAAAAUAUAUAUAUUUAAACGCUUCUGCUGAAAUUUCUUUCUCUAAUAUCAUCAAAAUCUUUCAUAUGUCAAUGUGAGCUGAUGGCAGAUGCCCAGUUGCUCAAACAUCAUGAGCACAGUGAUGUUGAAUAAUAAGAUUUCUUUUCAGAACUUGUAAAGUUUCUUUUAGGAGCUGACUGGUUUUCCUUAGAUGUGUAUCAUUUUUUAAUACAUCAAGGAUUGUGUGCUACCUAUACCUAUGUAAAAUACUUGGGUAUGUGCUGUAGAUUGUUAUUCUACUCUACCAUUGUCACAGGUAGUUUGGUACUUCUUUAUGAUGCCAAUUGUUUCUACUAGAUUCGGAUUAUUCGUUGCAACAUAGUAGUCAAAAACAAUGUAACAUAAUAAUUAGUCAAACUGUUCAUUACAGGAUUUAGUUAGUUGGUAAAAAUACUCUUCAUUAUUUCUUUUGAAACCAUGAUCUACAACAGAAAAGAAAAUUCAUGCUCUACUUAUCCUUUAACCGAUUCCUGCGCACUGUCUUUUCUUCAUUUGGAUAUAACUAUAUCAUGUUUUCUCACAUACUCUUUCUCUGCAGGACCUAUAAACAUACCGCGUCGACUGAACUCCGGCUUUUACUUUGUUCGCUCCGGUCUAGCUACAAUUGCUGCAAUGGAGAUGGUUGUAAAACAUGCGUCAACUUCAGGCCUUUCUGAACAGCCUAGUUUCUAUGAUGUUUUAUGUGGAGAAGGGGGAGUCAACCGUGUGGGCAAUGACCAGUGUUAUGAACCCAAAACAAACCUAACUGUCUUUUUCCUAGAUAGGAACUUCUUCCCCAAUGGAGCUUAUAUGGGCUUCUGGGAGAAGCCGGAUGUGCGAUCUGCUUGUCUAAGGGCUGGAUGCUUCAUCCUUCAUAACAACUGGAUAAAUGGAAGAAAGAGAAAACUCGAGCGUCAAAUACAGUCCGGUCUGUGGGACUAUGAUCCAAGCACUAGGCUAUGCAUCCAGAGUUGGCAUAAUUACACUUAGUUCAUGAUCGAUUUCUGAACGUUAGCAUUGGUCUCAUCCCGUUUGCCUUAGCUGAGUAUUCUGCUGCUGCAAAAAUGUAACUUGUAUACUAACAGUUGAAAAGGAAACUAUAUUUUCAACUGAAGGGGAUAUUAUACCUAGCUUUAAAAGAUAGUUGAACAACUUUUUGGCCUAGCCCCAAUUCAUCGCAGCCAGAAUUAAGUUUACUUCUCCUGGGGUAGGGUUCAGUAUGGAGCUUCUAUGUGAUCUAACCACAGCAUGGAGGAGCUUUUUCAGUAAGUCAGUAGCUUACCGCAUAGAAUAAUCUCGGUUAGUUAACCUUCUUUCCUAGGUGCUGUGAAGGAAAAUCUUCAACUCUUUCCUUCCUAGUUCCUAGUAAUUCAGAAGGUUGGAGGUUGGGAGGAAAAUUAGGCUAAGAUACCAGAGCCUUUGGAAGGAAACUAGUUAGAUUUUUUUCUGCUCAGUUUGCUGCCUCAGUGUUUUUGGUUACCAAAAUACGAAGAAUUUGAUUAUAUAUUUGCAGUGUAACAAUCAAGAUGAGCAUCGGAUCUCAAGAAAGAUGUUUUUGAUUUUUCAGGAUUUCAGUGUGCAUUUCCUUCUUUCUUUUUUUUUGUUGCAAGAUACUCUAAAGGAGGCAUUUGUUUCUUCAACAAUUUUUCGGAGGAGUGGAAGAAAUUGGAAUAGGAGAACCAGAAAACAUUCACUGGGCUUGACAAUGCUAGAAAUUAUACUUUCCAUUGUGUGUUUUCACUCUUACCAGAAUUUUAGAUGGCUACAUCAAACUGAAGCUGGUAAGCGUGACACUCCCUUUCUUGACAUGAAUUUUAUUUUGUAUUGAAUGCACAUUUAUUUCGUGUCACCAGCUACUGUCAAGGAAAAAUUAAUAGGAAGAGAAAUGAAAAUAAAGAAUAAUUUCAGGAGCCUGGCCUCAGCAGUGCGUAAGCAACAAAAAGCAAAGUGUUUAAGCUCAAAUUAAAUUAUAAAUUAUGGUUCCAACAUACUGGGCAAAGAAGUCAAUUAAUUUCGUGAAGAUCUUUGUGGUUUGAACAAAAUGUAGUGAUACUGUUUAAUCAAAGGCUGGGAUGAGAAGCAAAGACCCGUAACAGGGGUUUUUAGCUGGAUUGAAGCUCAUUUUCUUUUUGAAAAAUCUCUCGCAGUCCACUUUGAACUAGUAAAUGUAGCCAUCUGCUAUUCUCUUCCACAUUCGAUAUUCAAAAUUCAAUUCAUGUUUUUUGUCAUGAAUGACUGAGAACUAGGUAUUGGUUUUAUCAGCUAACGUACUAAUAGAGGUGUGCUAUUUUCAAUUGAUCUCAGAAGGUAUUACAAGCCCUAGCAGUUGAGGAAAUGAAACAGUAGAAGUCAUCGGCAUGUACAGGGUAAUGCCUGUCCAACUUGUGGCCAGAGAUAUGUUCCAGCAUAUUUGAAGAUUCCCGCCAUAUCAGUGGAGCUUUUGUGUUCCUUGUUAAGACCUAGACUUCAUCAGAUUGUCUCAGGUUCUUCUUUCUUCCCAGUUUCCACACACUGUAAUCUAAUUUGACUGUUAUAUGUUCUUUGACUUCUUUCCUAGCAUGUUUGGCUUUUAAGUGCCAUUUUGUAAAAUGGCUUUUAAGUGCAAUUUUAUAAAACUAGGCUGCGGAACAGUAAUAUGACAUUGAGUGCUUUAUGAAACGUUUUGUUUUUAUACUGAACAAUGCGGUUUGAAGAUGAUUACUGGUUCAAUUAGUAUUCCUUUUGCUUGGUUUUCCAUCACAAAACGUGGAUGAUGAAGUUACAGGUGAAGUAACUGAAUAAGAGAGUUGAGUUACGAGCCCAUCAAUGGUAAUUUAGUAGGGCAACAUUAUUAACAUUAUUUUUAUCAUGGGAUGUGCAUGUUCUUUUCCAUAUUUACCUGUUCUUUGUAGCAUUUCUUUGUGGUUAUGCUCGCAUUAUGUUGUAGGAUAUUUCUUCUCUUUCAGUUCUACUAAGUUCAUUUUCCGGUUUUGCAAUUGAAUUAUGCAAAUUUGUAGUUGUUUACUCAAUGAAUCUGCAUUAUGUAAUGAAACUGUUUUUUCCCGAAGAUGUUCAUAUUAUAAAAUAAUUCUAUUUAUCAUAAUGGAACUUUCAUGUGCACCUGCAUUACUUUAUUAGGAAUAAAAUGCUAAGAUAUUUUAGAAGUAUCAAACUAUUGGUACUUUCACAUCAUCUUCUAAGAUAUUUUAGAAGUACCAAGGUCUUGGCAUUUUUACAUCGUAUCAGGUAAUGCAGCAUUCGAAUGGACCAUUAAUGUUGUAGAAUAUGAUCUACGGUACAUGAACUUUGAAGGAACCAAAUUUCUUGUUAAGACUAUUAACAAUUUUCAACGGCAUAUGUCAGAUGUAUUUGAGAUCACUUGUUCGCUAGAUAAAUAAUGUUAAAAUUAUGAAAUUUGGUUUUUAGAAAGUUCACAUGCUAAAGAUUAUGUUUAAUAACAUUGAUCGUUGAUUCGGAUGUCUUAUCAUCACAAAUGACGUCGAAGUCCUAAGAGCUUGAUACUUUUAGGAAAAUUGGUUUAUAUGAAGUUUUGGUGUCAGUCAUUGACAGAUGUCUCAUCACUGAAAAAAUUACGUAAAAUUAAAUGAUUUUUGUCUACUUUUAGAAGUAUUCUAGCCUAGCUCAUACAAAGUUGAGCUGGAGUAUUUUCGGGAGCAUGGAUAUUUUUAUUUUUUCAUUUUGUUUUUGAUGAUUGACAUUCAAAUUGACUAUCAACUAUCUUCAACAUGAUAUACAUUACUAGAAGCAUCUAGAUUCCAAAUUCCAAGAUUUUCCAUUUUCACCACAACUCCACAAUUCACCAGAAGCACCGCAAUUUAAGGUGGAAACAUUGAGUGGAUAGAUCAUUAAGAAAGAUUUUUUUAUUUGCGGCACAAUCUAUUACUGGAAUAUGCCAGAUUAUUUUUGUGGCUACAGUGUAAAGAACAAAGUGCCUGAACAAUAACAAUGCUCUAUAUGCAAACAAAAAUCACACAAUUCCAAUUCAAGGUUAAGUCAAACUAACAGCAAACAAGAAAAAAUGAGCUUCCAUAAACUCCUCAUGCGCUCAUGGAUUGGGUCUGGGGAGGAACAGUCCUUGCCUCUUGCUUCUGGGCAAGAUGUCCCAUCCAACCUGCAAACAAUCACCCACAUCUGCGAGUCAGAGGCACGGCUCAAAAUAGUCUUAAUACCUGUACUCACAUGCACAGUAGAUAUCAGAUAAAUCACGUAACGACAAAACAAAAAAAUUCAAAGCUCUUGCCAUUUGAAUUAACACCAGAGAUGAGAGUUGAAUCCAAGAGCUCUAGGGCUAAGAGGGCUCAGGAUUACUCAAGAGGAGGAAUAGCAAUUUCUAAGAUGAUGGCUGGAGCCAAUACUAUUGAGUGAAACCAUAAAUUAACACAGAUCCAAUUUAGCCCAAAAUGAUGAUUGAGGAAGCAUGCUAAUUUUUGAAAAAUUUAUCGGAGUUGAGCUCCUGUGUUUUUAAAAGCACGGAAGCAUUUGUUCUUGCGACAUUUUAGCCGUCAGAUCGUGUCAAGAUCCGUACAGUAUUAUUAAAGGUGUAUCCCAUUAAGUCCUCUUUUCUAGUGCCGCAUGGAUCAUGAGGCUAUUCGACGGCUGAAAAAUCACAAGCACAUUGAGCUUCUAUGCUAUAUUAGUUAUUUAGUGGCAAUCUUUAGAUGACAGUACAGUUGAUAUAUCUAUCUGCUUAGUGUGUGUGUAUAUAUAUAUAUAGAAGAGUGAGAAAGCAGAGAUAACAUACUACUUACCUAGAGAAGGGUCAAUGCCUCUGUUCUGGAGCUCCCUGAACUCCUGACAGAGAGCACAGCAUGAGCAGAAGAGAUGGAGCACCCAGUCCUCAGCUGGGGCUUCCACCAGAUUAUACUUCUCUCUCAGUUUGCUCCUGUAGUUGGCCCCCAACACCCAGCAGGUGCACAGAGCUGGACCCAUGAACAUGUACAGGAAACUGCCCAGAGCACAACCUGCACAGCAUUCAUUAUACAGAAAUUAAUAAAAAAAAAACAAACUCCCAGCUAGAAAUUUCGUAACUAAAUAAAGGAUCUGUUUGGCCUCACUUCUGUUGCCAUUUUCAGUAGUACCAGCUUUUAGUUCAGCGUUUGCCGAAGAGAAAAUAGAAAUAGAAUUCUUCGACUAAAAAACAAAAGUUGGAAUCUAAUCUUCCCCAUUUGAUAAUCAAAAGCUGUAGAAAAGCCCCUCAAUGCUAACAACAUUUUCGCUUAAUCCUCUUUCGUCAGUGCUCCAUUUAUUAGUUCUUCUGAAAUAUCAAAAUUGUCCUUCAUCUUUUAAGUCUUUUUGUUUUUCACCGUCUAUGUCACGCAAUCAGUCCACAAAGAAAUAUUUAACUUGUGCAACUCACGAUAUUUUGAGAGAACUUUUGCAAUUUAGUCCACAAAGAAAUAUUUAACCUUGCUGAGAUCUCUAACUGAGAAUUGUUCCGAAAAUAAAGCUAAAUAAAGUUAAUAAGAUUCAUAAUGGAAUUUUAGUGCUGCUGUGGUCUUACUGGUCUGCCCUUCGUCCAAUAUCUCUGCAAUCUGCCCAAACGUUACACAUGGAAAAUAGGCCGUCAUGAGAGCUGCGUUUUAAAGACAUAUAUGUUUGAGUUAAUAAAUCCAAGUAAUCAUGAUUCAGAUGGAACUUUAUUUUGAUAAGUUUCAAUUCUCUUUCUUGUUGUGCUAGUCAUAUUAAUAUAAUACUGUUAAAUUGACAAAAAGAGAAUAAAUAGGAAAGAAAAACAAAUCUUAACUUAUACUUUCUGAAGCUCCAGUGACGAGAAACAUUUUAUAUAGUAGUCUAUAUCAGACGCCUAAAAUGCAUUUCGCUACUGAUGACCAGUGUGUUACCACAUCGAUAAAAAUUUCAUGUAUAUUAGAUUUUCUGCAUAUAAGUUGUACCUAAUAUUCUCUUGGAUCAGUGCUACUCUCUCCUUUUUUUUCAAAAAAAAGGUUCCGUUACAACUAUAGCUUAGUUCUAUUAUCAGGAAUAAAAUCAGAAAAUAAUUUGCCCCAAACAAAAAGUGCAUUGGUACCUAUAAAAGAAUUAUAUAUUUAAGAAAAUGGCUUAAUUACACUGUAUUACACAAUAAUUUAUAGUUUUUUUUUUUACACUUUAUGCACUGUACUUUUUUUUUUUCAAAGGCACCACUUAACUACUCUUUUUUUAAAAAAAAAUUUCUAUAAGUAAUAAAUCUAUAAUUUUAUACAAAAGUUGUUAAAACAUACAGGCUAAAAGUGACAGAGCGUAUAUUCAACUCAUUUUGAUAUGAAAAAUAACAAACUAUAUAAAGUUAAUAAAAAAUAAUGAAAAAUAAUUUGAUAGAAAAAAUUUAAUGAAUCUAUCAUGAAGAUCUAUUUUACAUUAUUUCUACUAUUUAACCAAUGACUCUUAACAAAGUUGUUAGAUUUUAUCUAAAAUAAUAGAUUUGUUAACAGAGAUUGACGAAAACAAAAUUUAGUAAUAUCUAUGAAAGAAGAAAAUAGUACAAAAUAGAAAAAUAAAAAUAAUCUAAAAUAUAGUGUAGAGAUCGAUAAAAUACAAGAAUACAACGGUGUCUUUGAAAAAAUAAAGUACAAUAUAGCAAAUAAAACAAUACUAAAGUACAGUAAUAGAGUGCAAUUAAGCCUUUUUGAAAUUAUACUUUACCAAUAAAUCAAAAGAUAGAGCCAAAAAUUUGGGAUGAUAGUUUAACAUGAACACAGAAACUUCCAUGUUCAAAAAUUUCAGGUACCGAGUCAUCAUAUUAUUGUUAAAAAUGUUGCCUCAAAAGAAAGAAAAAGUAAUCCAAACUUGGCCAAGUUUAGUACUCCAAAACAUUUGCUACAGCCUAUGAGAUUGAAUGAUCUGCAUUACUACUAUUAGACUGAUUGCCCGUGCAGUCGAAGAGUCCGGUAGUCCACGGUCGGCCGACUAGUUCGCCACUCCCCUGGUGCAAGGACUUAGCCUCCGCCCCUGGAGGCGGCGGUAGCAGCUUCACUUCAUUUACAGAAGCGUGCUUUCCGUUCGGUGAGCUCUGGAUCGUAUCGGCAGUCGGUGGUGAGGAAUCCAGCUGGUUUCGGGGUGGAGAACCUCCUGGGGUUGCAUUGGUGGUGGGCUCCUUGCUAUCUGCUUGAUCACCAUGUUCAUGACUCUGUCCAUUGGACCCGUCACUGGCCAUUUUGAUCUGUAGGUUAGAUGAAUUGUGACAAAAUAGGUAGCAUAUAUAGUGUGGCUUUUCAUUGAGUCUAGUGGUUUUGAAUAAGAAAUGUAAGGAUUUAUUAAAAAUAUCUUAGUGUUUAUCGUCGAUAAGUUGUUUAAGUAGCAUUUUAAAGCUCUCUGCCGCUUGAUAUGUGUUUUUAUGUAUGUCUAGGAUGGGGUUUUGGCCCUUGUGUGACAGCUAUUUUGGGGUGGGUAAUUAAAUGAUAACCAAAUGAGGGUAAAUAGAUGAGUCCAAAGUAAUAAUAUAUUGAAAUGGUAAAGUUUUUUUGUAGAUAUGUAACAGUUCAUCAAUGAAGAUUUCAAAGUAGCAAGUUGGUUAUUUAGAAAAGAAAGGGAGCUUUCAUGGUAUCACAAGACAUUUCCAUAAUAGCCUCUAUGUCAUUGGUAUUAUGGUAAGAUCCAAAAAAAAUAGCUUCAAAUUGCAAUAUUUGGUGGCGGCAUUAUGGUCAUCUUACGCAAAAAUCCCAAAUGGUAAACCACCACGAGAGAAUAGUGCUAUACAAUCUACAAUCAUAGGGCUUAAUAAAGCCUUUGAAUCAAGAGGGUCUUUGGAUUGUAAAUCCGAGAGCUUAUUCAGCUCUCUGGUUUCUGAACCUUUAAUGUUCAUUUUGUUAGUAUCAUAAUUGAUUGAUGAUGGUAGAAAGUCAUUUACAAGACUAAACCACAAAGUUGGAAGGCGAAGUGAAAACAUAAGUAAUGUUUAUAGAAUUUAUGCCCUUUUAUGUGAACAAGCCAUCAAAAUCUAGAUAAAGUAUAUCUGUAUCCUGAUUUGCUAGUUGUACCAUGUGAGCAAACUAGCACAUCGGUGGCCCCCCACCCCACCUCCCCAAUUUACAUUCAACGGUUUUGAAGCCGAUUGAUUAAUAGUCUCUCAUAAGCUAGCAUUAGUUUUAGGGCAUAUUUGGAGCUUACACCGCUUGGUGUUUCUCCAGAAGUACUGCUUUUAAGUAAUAAUAAUUUUUCAUCAAAAGCGUCAAAAUUAUCCUCAACUCAUUCCAACCUAAUGUGUCGAUGUGAUAUACUUUCUAUUUCAGCAAAAACAAAAAAAAGAGAACUAAACAAGAUACCAAAUAUGAAUCUCAGAGAUUUUCCAUAUCGCAAUCAGGAGGUUGCCAACGUAUAUUGAAAUAUAGUAGUAUUGUAACUUGCAAUGUAAUUGAAAACAACUUUAAAUGUACUCAAGGAUUUGAUCUUUAUCCGUGUUUACUCUCCUAGAUAAAUAAGCAGUAGCCUUAUUCAUUAGUCAGGUGAGAACCAUGGGUAAAAUAAAGAACAAAAAAAGAAAACAAGGAAAAGAAAAGAGAAAAAGGGGAAAAAAAAAUGAAGUAGAAGCAGUCUUAAAGCAACAUAGCAAGACAUUCUCACCUUGCAUUCUGAUACUUGUCACUUUAAUGUUGUCCCUAGGCCCAGCUUUUAACCAUUUCAAAAAGCAGAAGCUCCAAGGACUUCACCAUCAUCGACCUAAUCCAAUGCAAACUAUCUACAAAAAAAUUACACAGAACAGUUGAUGAUAAGGAUUCAUGUAGUUAUUUAUAUUAUGCAUUUGAACAUUGCACUUAUACACUACUGAAAAUUAAUUAUUCAACACUCAGAAGAAGAAAGUUUUCUGACAUCAAACAGUCUUAAAACUAUUACAGCAGAAGAAUGCCUUGGUGAUCAUCACAUGACUUUAAUGUUAGACAUCUAGUAGUAGCAUCACACAAGUAUUUGAUUAGGCUCGUCAUGUCAAAGUAAUUUUGAAACUUGUUAAUGUUUGCCAUCAGGUAAAUUCAGAUUCCAGAUAUAAUACAAAGAACCUCGUUUAGUUCUUUCCACCUUUUCAUUCUUUUUAAUCAUAGAUAAAAACUUUUAAAAUGUAUAUUAAAAACAAGGCCUUGUUUGGUACCAUUGCCCCUUUUUCUUGUUUCUCUAAACAUAAAUUGCGAUUAGAAAUGCCGGCAGAUAGAUUUGCCUAUUUAUCAUGGUUGAUUAGCUUGCAAUGCAAUUCAACUGAGGGAUGGCAACUUUUUCAAAAGAUUAUAGAAGAGAAAAAAUUACUACAAUUCUUUAUUUUUUGCUGCCAAACAAACAAUUUGGGUGGACGGAUUGUUAGCAGUCCACCCAUCUACUCCUACACUCGUUCGCAUAAAAUUUCCUUUUUAAAAGAAUUAAAGAACAGCAACAAUUUCAAACGAAGCCUAAGACUUUGGCUUUUGACACAUCCAAUGAAAGCAUUGAAAUACAUCUUUUAGAUUUAGUAAAUAAUUAAUGAUCUGCUUUUAUGCUGAAACGGAUACAUGAGGUCAACAAGAAAAUUAAGCAUCAAUCGAGAAAUGUGGCUUUCUUGUACAGCCGAUAUCCAAUAGCAGUUCAUGCCGGUACAAUUUAAAUACUAAUGAUAUAUGCUCAUGUUAUCAGUUAUCCCCUGACUGGUCAUAUAAAUAAAUAAGAAGAGGCAAAAAAAAAAAAAAAAAAAAAAGCAUAGGAGGAAUAUCUAGAUCGGCAAGAAGAAAAUUGGCCUCUAGUGUUAUCUUCCGUAGUUGGUGUAUAAAAAAAGAGAGAGAAAAGAGGCAAAAUUAAAAACAUCAGUUACUCGGUACUCUAUAUGCUGCUUCGAUUGAAAUAAAGGGAUAAAGCACCUUAUCAUAGAGCACCAAUAAACCAUUUGAGUUCUAUUUAGACUUCUAUAUCAUUCACUUUUCUUAACCUAGUAACAAUCAAAACCUAGCCAUACAUCCAACGUGCUUUACCAAAUGUCUUGUAAAGUUUAUUUCACUAACUAAUGCUUUUGAUAUGAAGAGCAUAUUUUUAAUCACUGUAAGCAUAACAAUUGGAGAAAAAAAAAAGCACUUUGGAUUACUUAAGCAUCGUAUAGAGAAAGAAAUGAAAGAUAUACCUCCAGUGAAGGGCAAUAACUUCGUUUACUCUAUCAUUGUGAUCUCAAUGAGACAAUAAUCAUACAACCAAGAACAUGAGAACCUGGAGGACAAAGCAAUCAAGAUAAAACAAAAAAAGUGCAUGAAUACUCUUAAGCGAAUACCAACCCAAACAAGCAAAGCUAAUAAAAUGUUAUAUAAACAAUCUCUCAAUGUACAAACCUUAUAAUAAUUUAUGCUUUAUGAAGUUGCUUCUUCCAUGAGGCAUUGUAGCUGAAUCAAUCAAAUAAAGAGUAGUGCCCUCUCAUUCAUACAGAAAUCACGGAAAUCAAAUAUGGAAGAAUAAUAGGAUGAGGAUAAUCAACACUUACUUUACAGGUCCCCAUGUGUUACAAGGAUAAAUAUGCGUAGUGAUGAUUUUCAUGCUUCAACUCAUUUACCCUUCAAAACAAUGAAUCAUUGCAUCCAUCUUCAGAUAGAUGACACGUAAAUCUCGCGUACCUUGAUGAUUAACUAAUAACUAAGAGAGUCACCAAAAGUCCUGACAAGAACAAUUGCCAUCUUUGAAAUGGUGGAAGCGAUGCUUAUCUCUGACUACUAUUUCUCUACCCACAACAGCUGACAUAAACUUGAUGGCGAGGUGGCAAUCGUCACACAUCCUAAGGUUCUUUAUGACCCUGAUUGGAGUCAUGUCACUCGUACUCAUUAGCCCAAAUGCCACAGCCAACUUCUCACUAUGAAACCUAAGCACAACCUCCCUCUCCUCUUCUUCCAAUUCAUGCAACACCGAGUCGGUUUCUGCCACAUACCCCGCUUCCUUAAUUUUACGUAUCAUUUCCUCCAAAUAUUUAUAAAUCUCAGCAGUUUGUGGGUGAAAUGUAUCGCCCAUCCGGAACACAUGGGUCGUACCAUUGAUCUCAGUCGAGCUAUACCCAGUUUGCUUCUUCAAACCAUUACGGAUCAUGAUAUCUCUUACCCUCUCGACUCGAUCCAUCCUACCUGCUAACGCAAAUAUAUUAGAAAGAAGAACAUAAUGAGACGGGUUAUCAGGCUCGACAGCUAGAAGCCGUUCGGCCACCUCUACUCCAAGAGUUAAAUCCUUAUGCAUCUUGCAGGCCCCGAGCAUAGCUGUCCAAACUUCGGGCCCCGGCUCUCCUACUAUCGACUCCCUAAUGAAUCGCAUCGCAUCAACAAGAAGUCUGGCCCUCCCGUACAAAUCAACCAUGCAAACAAGGUGCUCUACUCGGGGAACCAACCCGUAAUCCCUCUUCAUAGAUGCAAAGGCCUCGCGUCCUUCUUUAACCAGUCCUGCAUGGGCGCACGCAGAAAGAACCGCGACGAACGUAACGCCGUUCGGCUGCGGGCCCUCGUUUCGCAUCCUGUGGAACAAUUCGAUCGCUCGACGGCCGUAGCCGUGCAUGCCGUAUCCCGAAAUCAUCGCCGUCCAAGUGAUAACAUUCUUUUGCGGGAGCGCGUCGAAUACCUCGCGAGCUCUACGCACGAGCCCGCACCGAGCGUACAUAUUCACGAGAGAGGUCCCGAGAACAACGUCAACACCCAUUUUUCUCUCCGUGAUGUACGAAUCCACCCACCGCCCUAAACCCAAGGUGCCGACUUGAGAAACGGCGGAGAGCAAGCCGACGAAGGUAGCCGAAUCGGGCUCCUCCCCCGCCGCGCGCAUCUCACGAAAAACCCCGAUAGCCUUCUCCCCGAAGCCGUUCUGCUCGUACCCUGAUAUCAUGGCGUUCCAAGCGACGGCGUUUCUCGCGGGCAUUCUAUCGAACGCCUUGCGGGCGACGACCAAGUCCCCGCAUUUCGCGUAGAAGACGACCAGCGCGGUCUGAACGAAGCGGUCGGAAUCGAAGGCGGAGAGGAUGGAGUGGGCGUGGAGGAUUCGGCCGGAUUUGGAAGCGGAGAGGUCGGCGCAGGACUUGAGGAGGGAGGUGAAGGCGAAGGAGGAGGGGGGGAGGCAGGCGCGGAGCGAGCGGCGGUAGAAGAGGAGGGCGUGGAGGGGGAGGGCGGAGCGGGCGGCGGAGCGGAUGAGGGAGGCGAAGAGGAAGGGGUCGGGGCGGGGGACGGAGGCGAGGAGGCGGCGGGCGUAGGGGGCGGCGCGGGCGGCGCAGGCGAGGGAGAGGAGGGUGGUGAGGAGGGGGAGGGAGGCGCCGGNGCGGAGCGGGCGGCGGAGCGGAUGAGGGAGGCGAAGAGGAAGGGGUCGGGGCGGGGGACGGAGGCGAGGAGGCGGCGGGCGUAGGGGGCGGCGCGUACGUCGGAGAGUGGGAAGAGGAAGGGCGGGAAAGGCGAGGGCUUCGCGCCAUAAAAGGUUUUUGGCGGGUGAAGGUGGAGUAGUUUUGUAAAAGUAUAAAUUGUGAAUUUUCGUUUUUUUUUAAAAAGAUAGGCUAGUUCAAAUUUAGGGGUGAAAAUGUAUAAAACAUUGUAAUAAAUAUAUAUUCUACAUUUAAACGAACAAAAUUUAAUAAUAUAUACAUUUACAUAAAAUUUUAGGGGUGAAAAUGUGUGUGUGUGACUAACAUAUAUAUAUAUAUAUAUAUAUAUAUAUAUAUAUAUAUAUAUAUAUAUAGUGGAGCUACUAUGCUAUCGAAAGUAUAGAGGAUAUGGUACUUUCGAUUUUUUGAUUCUUAGAUUAACCCCUUUAAUCAUUUUUUUGAAUUAAUACUAUUAUUAUCUUGUAGGGACCACUCAAUCGUAGGGAUAUUAUUUAAUCCCCGGGGGACCACAAUCAUCCCAAUCAUACAAUUCUUAAUCAAAGGGUCAAAAAUUUGAAAACAUCAAAUCCUUUAUAUUUUCGAUAGUAUAGUAGUUCUACACUAUAUAUAUAUAUUAAAAAAUAUAUAAAUAUAAUAUAUUUUAAUUAUAUAUAGGCUCAGUGAAAAUUCGAGUUUAGUUAAAAUUGGGCCAAUGUUGUUGGCCCCAUAAAAACAAACUCAAUAGACAAAUAAAAGAGCAAAAUUUCACUAAAUUUAUACAUUUUUCAUUUCUUUCUUUCUUUCACAUAACUCUAAAUUUUCAAUAUAUUUCUCUAUCUCUUUUUCUGUCUCUCACCCUAAGGGGCCAAGCCGAAAGCCCUCCAAGUUACCAAGUAACAGUAUAUGCCUGCUGUUGCCUACCUUGCUAUUAAUUGUAUGCUUGAGAAAAUAUACAGAAUAUUUUUAAAGUAAAAAAUUAUUAUUCAUAUAAAAUUUUAAUUUUUGUUAUGUAUAAUUGGAUAGUUUAAUCCAAUAUUUAUCUAUAUAAUUUAUUUACUUUUGACUGCAUAAAUGAAAAUGAAUAAAAUGAAGAUUAAAGGCGGAAGAAAAGACAUGUGAGGCUGAAAAAAUUAGAUAUUCAACUCAUAAAUUAUUUUUUUCAUAUUACAAUACUAUAUUUUGUAUAAUUAUUUUGUACUUUGAACUAUUAGACAUAUUUUUGUAUCAAAUUAUAGAUAAUGUUCUAUGCAAAUUAAACUAUUGAUCGUAUGAUGUUGAGAAUUUCAAGCGGCUCAUUUAGGGCUCGAGCUCGCUCGACUCGAAAUUAGCCUCACUCGAGCUCGGCUCGAAUUAAUUUCAAUCUAAGCUUGAGCUUAAAUUUAAGCUCGAAAUUAAUUUCAAGCCGAAUUUGAGCCGAGGUAAGCUCGCUCGAGCUCGGCUCGUUUCCACCCCUACAAAUGACUUGGUUGUUGGUAUUCGAAAUCCCAAGUUUAAAUCCUUGUUGAUUUAUAUUUUCAGUUAAAUUUAUUUUUAAAAGAAAUAAAUAAAUAGUGUAGUAAGAUAAGUGUUAAAAAACUUAUAGUAGUGUUCUAUUAUUAAGCCUAUGGGCUGUCCGACCCGGCACGACUUCGAGCCGGGCCGAGGCCCGGCACGGCUACGAUAGCAUCUGUGCCGGGCCGGGCCAGACCGGCUCUUUGAGCCGAGCUAGGCUGAUCCCCCAAGGCCCGUAGGCCCAGCACGACACUGCCCAUUUUGGGCCUGAGCGUGCCGGGCCAAUAGUGCGGCCCGUGGCCGGACACCUCACUGCCUGCCGGGCCAGCAUGGCCCUGUCUCGGCCCUUGGGAGUUGGGAACUUAGGAAUUGGGAGCCAACCUGGCUACCCAACUCCCAAAGUGGAGAAAGAUAGGGCCCGCCCUCCUUGGAAGAUGGGCCCUUUUUUUGAAAAAAAUAUUUUUUUAAAAAAAUUUCAUAACUUUAUUAAAUUUAAAAUUAUUUUAAAAUUUUAUUACUUUAUAAAUAUUUUAAGAAAUAUUAUUUUUUUUAUCUAAUAUAUUAGGCAAAAGAGAAUCAUUUUAUUUUUUUUUAAAUUUUGAUUUUUUUCAAUAUUUUUAAUAAAUUUUAAAACAUUAAAGAGAGUCGGCACAAAGCAUGGCCUAGCCCGGCAUGGCCCACGCCAUCCAGUCCCGAGGGUCGUGCUGGGCCGAGCAUUCAUAAAUAUUGGCCUGGCCCGAAUGUUAUCCGGGUGGACCGGGUUGACCUUCGGCCUAAUUUGGCCCAGGUGAAAGUGGGCCAUGCCGGCCUGGCACGGCCCACAUUACACCCCUACCUAAAGGUGUAUCCUUACAAUGAAUAAAUGUUACACAUUAAUAAGAGCAAAAUUAAAUCAUAUAAGUCCUGAAAAACUCCUAAGAGUGUACAUGUACUAUUUUUCCAAGCAAUGUACCAAAAUAAUUAUAGCACUAUUCUAUUAAGCUCUAAAAGUACAUCUUUGCAAUGAAUAUAUAUUUUAUAUUCAAAUGAAUAAAAUUUAAUCAUAUACGUACUCUAUAAAUCGUAUGUGUGUGUGUAACUGGGGUAUACAAGUAGCAAUUUCUAAACCCUAAACCCUAAAUUACGAAUUAUGUAAACACAUACAACUGCAUAUAGAAAUAAGCCAUAGUAGUGCACUAAGGAAACUCCUAUAACCUUUUAGUUCAACUAUAAUGAUAGUUCUCGAUAACAAAGACAGUUGCACGACAAAGGCGAAUGCAACAACAGUAGAUAAACCCUGUAAAUCAAAAAAUGUAAAGCCAAAUAAAGUAUAAAAAGAUAAACUUAUAUGAACUAAAGGAGUCUAGAAAGUUGUGGCCGAUAUGUGGAAAUCUCCUAAAUUUGAACGCCUACGAGCAGAUGAGUGAGCGACGAGCUCUCGCAAUAAACAGAGGAGCGUCCUACAAGCGAGAGAGAGUGACAAGAGGCGAGCUGCUAUGGUGGAAAAAGGAGCGUUCCACAAGCUAGAGAGAGCGACGAGAAGGGAGCAGGAGAGGGGAGAAGAGGCGAGUAAGUGAAAAAGCGUACAACAGAGCGAAAAAAUUAACGACCAAGCCCACGUUUUAAAAAUAGAGAGGAAGAAGGGAAAUGAGAGUAGUGGAUUAAUAAAUAGAGGGUGAGAAUAAAAACCCCAUUUAAGUUAGCUUAAUUUCAACCACCCCUGUUUGAACUUUGAAGGUGAUAUACGUCCGAAACAAUGGUGUAUGAAACUAUGAAUAGACUUUUCUUUUAUCCAAUCAUAUAAAAGAGAAGAAAACACCUUGAGCUAAACUGGAAUGCUAUUCAUAGCAUCGACUCCUUCAUAUCAUACAGUCAUUCCCAAUAAUUAAGCAUCCGAUUCGACGAUCAAUGUCGUAUAAAAUAAUCUAGAGCAUUUGAACUUUUUAGGUAUCAAACUUUAUAAUAAUUUUUUUAAUUUUUUUUUUCCGAGCCCUGGCUAUUUCAGACUGUUGCUUACUUCAACUUCUUAAUGAAUGAAAUAAUAGGAAGCUAUCUUUUUCUCAAAAAAUUUCAUUUUAUGAUCAAGAGUCUCAAAAAUAACAAUUUUAUCUGCUUACAUAAGGUAUUCUCUCAUUUAAAAGUGUGACAUAAGUAAUCAGUUGAAUUUUUUAUUUUUUAUUUUUAACUAUUCAAAAUAUGAUUUACAACUCUGAUCUAGAAUUUAAAUUCCAAUCUCCUAGUUUUAGAAGAUUACUUAAUUUUGGCUGUUUAUCUUUUGGCGAAUUGACGUCUUAAAAUAAAAUUUUUAAAAAUUAUGAAAUUUAAUUUUUAAAAUAUUUAAAUAUCAUAUAUCAUGCUUAAUAAUGUUGAGCAUCAAAUCAAAUGUCUUAUUAUCGAAAUCGAGUCAAUAACAAGCAAAUACGACUUCUUUGUGGAACUCCUAAAUAAGUUCUUUAGCGAGCCAUAUAAUUCAUCCCACAUUCAAAUUUAGGUUAAAUCCAACACAAUUUAUAGGACUUUUUUUUUGCAUUUAGUCUUUUCAGAAAAUUUUAUUUCACAACCUACUCAACAAAAUAUAUAAGUGCGAAAAUAAUCAUAUACUGUGCAUUAAAGCACCUAGUCGGAAUAUUUUAAGUGAAUACGUUAAUUUAUCCGCUAUUGUUAGAAAUCUUAAUAAAUACGGUGAUUUAUUUAUUAUAUUCAGAAAACUAUAUUUUGAAAGAUACGGAGGAGAGUCUUAUAUUUUGUUAUUUAAAUUACGUACUUUUCUAAACACAGUAAAUAAACUACUGUAUACAUCUAAAAUAUUUCUCACUUGUCUAGUGUGGCUUGUAAAAUAUAUAAGAUCAUAUAUGCAUUUAUAACCUUGAUAGAAUUAUUAUUUGCAAAAUAAAAUUUGCUGAGGUGGCAAGAUGCAAGAAAAGCCUCAAUUUACAACACAACCAAUAGGAAAAUGCCACGUAGCUUAGUUAUAUCACCAAUUCCCACUAGAGAAACGUUACCGGGUAUAUAGAAGUGAAACUCCAUAAUCGAUUUCUCAAAAUUAAAAUCUAAAUAAUUUGAAUUUAUUUUGUGUAGAUUUAAAAGGCAUAACAUAUGAAAAAUCAUAUAAUUUGGACACCACAUAUCUUGUAAAUCAAAUAGUGAAAUUUUUUUUUUUUUUUUAACCGCGGAUUGAGGAAGUAGUAGCUUUUUAUAUAUUUCCUUAUACAACGACUUUUUGAAUAUUUGAAAUUGCAUCCAUUAAAUUAAUUUGAUUUUGAAUUUAAAACAUUUGUCAUUGAAUAUAGGACACGUUUCAUAAAGUUUAUCUAUAGAUCAGCGUAGGCAAAAUUUUUUUGCUUGCAUUUUAAUUUUGACAAAUUAUUUGAUCUAAACUGUCCAUAAUGUGAAUGCGUGAUAAAUAGCGAUAUCAAUAGAUAUCGAUAUCCGAAUAUUCAUCUGAAUCCGAAUCCGAAUAAAGUGGAUUUAUUCGAUAUUAAAUGGAUAUCGUUUCGGAUAUAAAUAAAAAAACUAUCGGGUAUGGAUCUUUGUCUAUAUCCAACCUGAACCCACACCUGACCGGAGCCCGUAUUGAUUUUAUAUUAUAUAAUAUAUAUAAAUUUUUUAUGUUAUAUUUGAAUUUAUAUUUUAAAAAUUUAAAUUUAAUGAAUAUAUUUUAAAAAACUAUAAAGGGAAAUAAUUAUUCAAGUUCGGAUUCGGGUUUCGAAUUUUUGGUCCGGUCCAGAUCUGGAUAUGAAUUUUUCAUCAGAUUUAGAUUUAGAUUUAGAUUUAAAUUUUAAUUUUGAUAGUUUUAAAUUUAAAUUUUUAAAAAACUGUUCCGAAUCCGCCCAACGUUCUACGUGAUGAACGAUUGAGAAACUGUUCUACCAAAGUUUUGCCCCAUGGAAUCGUGAUUUCAUCUCGACCGUUCAUUUCCGAUCCUCAUCACAUUGCGUCUUCGAUUUCCCCAAAAUAAUUCUCCGAUGUAACGCGCACGCAUUCCACCACCCCCCCCCCUCACGAUACUGACAUGUGGGGCCCGCACGUGUGGGGGUUUCAUGUGUCACCGUGAUACGCAAAGCGUUACACCGAAGAAACCUCCCGAGUCACCGUAUCCCCCGACUCGUCCGUUUUCGCGGGAAAAUUCCUACUUUUCUUCCCCUUUUUUUUAUUUAUAUUAUCUCGCACGUUUCUCGACCGUUCAAUACGAUAAAUCUUCCCCCAAACCAACGGUCCUGAUCAUCCUCACCUGCCCUUCACUCGAUCUGAGGCCGAAUUUAAUAGGUAAAAAUGUAUUGGGACCCCCUCAACUGUAAGAAAUUCUGAAACAACCCCCUUAACUAUAUAUUGUUUUAAAAUUGAGAUCCCUCUCAACUGGUAAUUUUAUUUACUAAUAAAAAAAUAUUAAACUUAUUAAAUUUAGUUUUCAAAAUUCUUUAACUAAAUACCUAAUUUUCAAAAAUUAGAACUUGAGAAAAAUCUCAAUAAAAAAUGUUGAGGAGUGUUUUUUAGAAUAGGCUAUAGUUGAGGGGUCUCUGUACAUUUUGACCGAUAUAAUUUUUUAUUAUUUCCCUGAAAUCAAUAAAAAUAGAAAAGUAAUAAAAAAAAACAAAAAACCCGCGAUGGAGACACUGAGGAAACCCACGCCUUUCCCCUCCUCCGAUCCAACGGCGGAUACCUCACCACUGCGACGUCUAUGAAUUUCCGCCGCACGAUCCUUUUCGCUGAUCUGGUCCGUCCGAUCCCAUCUUCGUUUAAAUCCAGCCGUUAAAUAUGAAUUCGAUUUCAAAACUAAAGAGGGAGAGAUAGAGAAAGAGAGAGAGGAGAAAAGGGCCCUUUCUCUCUUCUUCCUCUUCUUCGCCCCUCUUCUUCUUCGUUCUCUUGAGCUCACAAAGCAUUCCCGUAACCUAGUAGGGGGAUUUGGAACCCUAAUCCGAGCCCCUGUCGACGCGGAUCUCGUUCGCGGGGCUCGGUUUCGAGGGAUUCGAUCGGAGAUCGCUCUUCUUCUUCGUUGGGUUGGGUGGGGAAUCUCCUCGGAUCGGAGUGGUGGGGAUGGAGCAAGGGAUUCAACCCGCGGCGUCGUCCUCGGCGGCGGCGCCGCCGCAGCAGGGGGAUUUGCCGGCGAAGAAGCUCGUGCGGCAGCUGGAUUUCACCUCCACGGCGUACCCCGGGAACCCCGCGGUGGCCGCCGCGGCCGCCGCCGUGUCGAGGGCUCUCGACCAGCGCCCGCUGCCGCAGCAGAUACUCCCCNGCGGCAGCUGGAUUUCACCUCCACGGCGUACCCCGGGAACCCCGCGGUGGCCGCCGCGGCCGCCGCCGUGUCGAGGGCUCUCGACCAGCGCCCGCAGCCGCAGCCGCAGGUCCAGCAACCCGUCCCCCGCCCUUCCAUCCCGCUAGUCGUGUCAGUGCUCUUUACCCUUCGAUCUCCUUGUCCUACUUUCAAAUUUAGGUUUUUUUGGUUGGAAGUGAUUUGGUUGGUGUGCCUAAUUUGUUGAAUUUGAUGAAUGAUUCACUUUUUAGGAAGAUUCUUAUGGUCUUGUUGAUUUUUAUCUCCAAUCCAUCAAGUUUAGGAACCCAAUUUGAAGUUCUUUUGAUUUCAGUUCGAUAUUUUCGAUAUUUUUGUCUUUGCAAGUCCUUUACUUCAGGCUUGUAAUUAAACUGUUUUUGUAUUUGGAAGUAAGAUGAUUGGUCAAAAUUUUGAAAUUUCUGAGGCUUGAGUUGAGCGAUAAAUAUUGGUACCGAAUUAUGGAGAUUGAGAAGUUCCUCAGAUGUUCUACGUUUCCAUAUCGUGGAGUUGGACUCUUUAUUUUGGUGGGAACAUUGAAGUGCAUCAUAGAUAAUCUCAACUUUAGGGAUUACCCAGUGAAAAAAAAGUUUCCUUUUUUGAUUCGUUCUUACUGGUUUAAGACUCCCUUGAUUCAUUCUUCGUCUAAUUUCAAUCCUAUGGUAAGUAUUGGGCUCUGGCUAAUAUAACUACAUUGGGGAGUAUUUUACAGUUGGAAAGAUUCCAAGAUUCGGCAUGUCCUCCUUAUUAACACAUCGCAGUACAUGCUAUUACGAUUUUUCGUGCAGAAACUAUUUAUUUCUUUAUUGAUAUAUUUGUUUUGAAGUUCUGUAAAUUACUGUUUAUAGACAAUUUCUUUUGAUGUUCAUAUGUUUGUUAUGGAGUUCUGUGAAGUAUUCUUUAUAUUCUCUUGUCUUAGUCGUCAUAGACUACAGUUAACUUUCAUGUUGUAAAGUUUUCUGUUGAGUCCUAAGUUUUCCUUUGUCUCUCUUCAGGAAGCCGGAGUCACCCAAGUCACGGACGCGGCAGCAUUCUGAUGCUAAAGAUGGCACACCAACAAGGAAAAAGAAUUGCAACUGCAAGAACUCUAGAUGUUUGAAGCUGUAAGUGUGAUAUCAUCUUAUGGAAACUACUUUACGUUGCCUAAUGCUUUCUAGUUACUGCUUGUUAACGGUGCUAUUACUCUAUGACAGUUGUAAGGUGUGGUUUGUCUGGUUUGAAACAUGUACUAUGUUUGUUGCAUUUGCUUUCUUUAGAAUAAUUACUUUCUAUCUAUUUAGUACUACAAAAUGUUUCUUCUACCGCACUGCUGAACUGGAUCUUUUCACCCUAAUCUUAACGCAAGUUGUUAUUGGAUGUCGGUGAUGACAACAUAAAUGAAUGGCUACAUAACUGGUAACAUAUGUAUCAAUUUGUCACAAGAUAAAGAUGGUAUAUCUGGGGGUAGCCACGUCUCAUUUUGAUGAUUUGUGAAAUUUUGUACUUAUUUCUAUUAUCUUUAUUUGGAUUCUCUGAACACUAUGUUUCAAAAUAUCAGGAUAUCUAACUCAUUAUUUACUUUUGGCAUGAAUUUUAUCGGAGGUUUUCAUUGCUGUAUAACAAAACUUGGUCAAAUAAAGGGAAAUCAGUAAGAAAUCUUUGAAGCCCAACUUAGGUUCGUAGAACUCACCUUGCGGCUUGUCAUAUGCUAUUAUCAUGAAUGAAUUCUGGAAGAACUAGUCAACUUCUCUAAUAACUUUCAAAGGUCGAUGCAUGCUAAUAACUGUUUAGUGCACAAAGAUGAUUCAUAUGAUGCAAUGAAAUUUCACCAUGAUAAAAUCUGUAUGUGUCAAGUAUAUUGAUGAAAUAUUCUGAUCCUUUAGAAUAAGAUAAUUCAAGGGAUAAUCCCAGAGCACUUUGUAAAAGGACAUAUGGUACGGCAUGAUCUUGUAUGAAUAGCUGACCUUGCAUAGUUAAGAAAUAGUGUCCCGAUGGUGCAAUGAUUAGUCACUAAUAACUAACUUCAUCAGCAGAUUUUGUCUGUCAUCUGCUUAAGAAAAUCGCCAUUACAGUUCAAAGGUUGCUUUCAGUUUGAUUAUGAAGUAAUGGAUCUUCAUUUAUCUAUGGAAGUUGCAUAUGGCUUUAGUCAUGCUUGUGCUUUUCUCAUGCUAUGUGGCUUUCUGUUCUUUAUUACUGCAAUUGUUUUCAAAUUUUCUUCCAUACUAUAAUAUUAGUUCCUGUGAAUGUGUCUCAAUCUCAUUUCUUAUGUGGUUAGGUAUUGUGAAUGCUUUGCAUCUGGGGUUUAUUGUGAUGGCUGCAACUGUACAAACUGUUGCAAUAAUGUUGAGAAUGAGGCUGCUAGGCGUGACGCUGUUGAUACAACAUUGGAGCGCAACCCAGAUGCCUUUAGGCCUAAGAUCGGCAAUAGUCCACAUGCAGUUCGAGAUAGUCGGGUAUGUGCUGAGUUGCAUUUGCCUUUGUGGACAUAACAUAAUUUGUUUUGUGAUGAUCGAUAUCCUCAGAGUGGUGGUUAGUGGUGGUUAUUUUUGGACGUUUGAAGUUUCCGUUCGAACUUACAUAUAAUGAAUUAUAUAUGUAUAAAUUUAUAUGUACCCCCAGAGGCAAAUCAUUAAACUAAAUACACCUCCAGAGGCUAAUCAUUAAAUUUAUAUGCACCCCCAGGCCCCAGAGGCAAAUCAUUACUUAUGCCAUUUUAAUUCUACACUAAUUGUCUAAUAUGCAAGGAUUAAUACUUCUUAACUUCCAGAUUCAAAUGACCGUGCAAUGAACUAAGUGUAGGCGUGUUUCUUUGGUGAGGUGAAACUGAGCAACGCUGGCAAUCUUGAUUAUGUUGGGUUAACAUAAUUAUAACUAGGGAUGGUCCUGGGCAUGCUCGUUUUGGGGUUAGUUUGGUAGGAAAAACUGUCUGUCUAAUUUAAUUAAAAUUAGAAGGUGCAUUCUUGGUUCAUUUAAUUUACGUGGAUCACAAAUGUAUCCAGCCCAAAAGAGGAUGUAAUCAAAAUAGGAUAAAUUUAACGGAAAUCAGUAAAAAUUGACGAAACGUGAUAAGAAAGGAUAUUGUUGAAGCAAUGACUCGAACUAUUUAAGAUAUUUUUCACAGUAUUGGUAUAGAAUUUACUAAACUAAUCUACCUACAAUGAACUAUGUUGUGAGGGUUGCAAACACUAAAGGCAUGUUUAUUUCAACGUAAGUAGACUUUAGGUGGAAGUGGACUUUGGGGUGAAGUGGAGUUUAGGUGAAAAUUAAUUCACUUCUGCUGUUUGUUUUUAACUGUUGAAGUGUAGUUCUGUGAGUUCUGUUGUUUGUUUGGUAGGAAGUAGAUGACGUAAAAAGUGUAGCUCUCCACCCCCGGUAUACUUACCUCUGAAGUGAUAUUAUUAUCUAUUUUGUAACUUAGUGAAUAAUAAAUUAUAAUAAAUAAAAAUUAAUAUAAUUAUAUAUGUAUAUAAUUAUAUAUAUGUAUAAUUAUAAAAUAAAAUUUUAAAAAAUUAUAUUAUUUGUUUGCAUAUAAAUUAUAAUAAUGCAACAAAUAAAAUUCUAAAGUUAAAAAAUUAUUAAUAUUUAACAAAUUCAUUUUUCAUCAUUUUCUAAAUAUACAAAUUAGACAAAAAAUAUAUUAAAACUUACCUAAGCAAAUUUGAUCACAUUACCUAACCAAAUUUAACAAGUUCCUUUGCCUCUUUGCACUUCACCGGAAUUGACUUCGCCCUGUGGAAGGGCGAAGUCAAUUACCCUAUUUUGGGUGAACUCGACUUUCGGCCGUAAUAAAAUUACGGCAAAACAAACAACGGAAGUGAUAGUUUACGGCGUAAACAACUUCCCCCCUCUCCACUUCCCCCUCACUUUCACCCAAACAAACACACCCUAAAUAAAGUAAAACCUGUGUAUAUUUGAGUUGACUACUUUCCAUAGCUUGUUUAUUGACAAAGGACUCUUCAACCUUAAGCCUUUACUUCGGUGGGUUUUGUUGGAACUGCAUGCAUACUCAUAACGUUAAUGUCUCACCGCCAUAACACUUGAUAUACAGUUCAACACUUGGUACGCAGUUCAGCAGGAAAGGUGAUUAAUCACCCCUCUUGCUGCCGUAUUGAAAUUUAAUUUGCUUGUAAUGUAUAAUCCUUUACAUCUGAUGUUGUUUCAUUGACUAGCUUGUCUCUUCUUUUAUGCUUAAAAUGCAGCCAUUUUCAUGUCUUUUUAACCAGAAAACAUUAAGUUUCAAUUUUUGUAGCUAUUGUCUAGCCAUUCUAUUAGAGUUGCUUUUAAUCAUGGCUUACUCUUUUAGGCUGUGCAUUAGUUGAAAAUUUGGAUUUCGAUAAUAAGAAGCAGUAUAAGUGUAAUUAUCUGUUGUCAUGUUGGCAAACACAAAAGGAUUGUCGUUCAAGAAAAAAGUGAGAGACUUAAUUAUGUGGCAAUCAUAAUUAAUUAAUUAUUAACUUCUUGAUAAUAAUAUUCUCCCCCAUUUCUUAUUUCCCACUUUGGUUGUUUACACAUGUUCUUCUCCAUGUAGCCUUCCUUGUUUAACAUCCUCUAUAACAAGAGGCUCCUCUUAUUGUUUCCAGAACCAAUAUGGUACUGUUACUCAAUAUGUAAUUGUUUAUUGAAUAGUUAUGGAAGAAUUACCAGAAUCGUAAGAAAUUUCCAAAAACAAGGUACAAAUUUCUAAGAAGCCUGAUCUUUUGCUAGUAAAUAUUACUUAAAAUAGAAUCUCAUUUGCAUAUCUGUACAUUUAUUACUCAUUGUCUUCCUGUUCUUAUUAAUUAACCCUUUUUUUAAAAAUAUAAGUAGUCAAGUCCUAUAAACAAUAACACAUAGACAACGGCUAGGUGGGAUAGCUGGUGUCUAGAUGGUUGCCAAAUGUUUUAGACACCUAUCUUACAUGUAUGCGCCUAACUUGCUUCUGCAGCUUAAGGGAAUGCUUUUCCAGUUUAGAUCACAUGGGGUUGCAUGUAUUGAGCCAAUACAGUAUCGCCAUGGCUUAAGGAAGAGAGUCUUGAUGCCUAGAAAUAUAAUGCGGUCUUGGAGACACCUAUAUCAUUUGGUUUGGCACUUAUGUUGGUGCAGUGAGAUGCAACUCUUCAACGGUUUUUAUUAGUUUAGUGUUGGCAUUUCUAUCUAACCAUAUAAAUAUUUAAGGCCUUGUUGUGGGUCUACUUCACUGUGGAGCCCACUGACUAGUACUACAUUUUACUGUUAUUUGUGGAGCCUACUGACUAGUACUACAUUCUGCUGUUAUUUUACUGAUGUUCAAACAACAUAAACUUCAUUAUAACCUUUAUGUCGAUACUGCAUUUUAACCAUUGGUUAUUUCAUUUUGCAACAUCAAACAUGUUACACGUUCUUACUCUCCUCAUUUUCAUUUCUUGAUUCCUUGCUAUUUACAAGAAAAGUUGAAGCAAACUUUGCAAAAGAUGAGGUUGCGCCUAACUUUUUAAGAGUCUAACAAUUAAAAAAAGUUGAUAAGAAAUAGAACUUUUUUGUACUGCAAUGCUUUAUUGAUAAAGUUUAUCUAUUCAUUUCGCAUUGACACCUAAAUCUAUUAUGUCCAUUUUAUAUUAGGGUGACGCAGGAGAGCUCCCUUUGGUGGGAAAGCACAAUAAAGGAUGCCACUGCAAAAAGUCGGGGUGCCUUAAGAAGUAUUGUGAAUGCUUUCAAGCCAAUAUCCUCUGCUCGGAUAAUUGCAAAUGCAUAGACUGCAAGAAUUUUGAAGGGAGCGAAGAAAGGAGGGCCCUUUUUCAUGGUGACCAUGGAAGCAACCUUUACAUGCAGCAGGCGGCGAAUGCAGCCUUAAAUGGUGCAAUCGGGCCAUCCGGGUUUCUUUCUUCUUCGACCUCUAGAAAGAGAAAGAACCAGGAAGUCUUGUUCGGCACAUCUGUCCGAGAUCAGCCUGUUCACAGGGUCAGUCAAUUUCCUCAGGUAACAUUUCUGAAAAUUUCUUUUUGUAUAUUCAAGUCACUAUAUUUACAUUACAUACAACAUAAGUAAUAUACAUGACUACAAGUCAGAAUUUCUAUAUGUUAAAUAUGAUUUUGGAGAUAAAUAUAAAUUUGUUAAAUAUAAAUAUUAAAAACACUAUUCUUUGGCAGCUUAAGCUUUUAGAGAAAUCGAUUGUUUUGCCUUAUUUAAUGUGGUAUUAGAAUAGGAGGUCCUCAGUUCAAUCCCACCAGGCCUGAGUCUCAUUUAAUAAUCUUUCUUAUUGUUUAAUGCACAGAAGCUUGUAAUGCUACUGACUGUAACAUUUGUGAUUACUAUUAGGCUGCUCAUCUGAGGAAUGCUGCACAACCUUCUUUUGCUCCCGUUCCUGUAUGUUGUCCUACAAACUCCGCCAAUUUAGGAGCUUGCAAAGUCACUUACAGGUAAUCUUCAAAAAUCUUGAAUGCGAUCUCCUUCUGAUACCUUGGCCACAACUUUAAAUUGUGUUAUCUGAUAUAAUUUUAUGUGGUUCUUAAGGCCUCUUCUAGCCGAUAUUGUCCAAACAGAGGAUGUGAAGGAGCUUUGCAAGAUUUUGAUAGUAUUUUCAAGAGAGAUUGCUAAUGUUGUUUCUGGUACGUUUCUUAUUACAUCAGAUACUUUUGCCAUAGACAGGCAAUCGCCAUAUAAUUUCCUUUCUACCAGAAUUAAUGUGCAAUAUUUUGCACAAUCUUGUUUUAUCAGUCAUUGAACUUUAUCUAUGUCACUGAUCUUGUUGACAACGACUUGUCUCUUGUUUAUAGCCAAAUAUAAGCAGUUAGACCUUUUUUGUUUCUGCGUUCUAGACAGGUUAAUCAACACUUGACUUUUCUCUUAUUGAUUUUAAGUUAUUGCUGUUGUUGUGUUUGAUUUUUGGUCCUAUCAUGGGCUUAUCCUUAUUGAAUGUCUUCAUUGCUCAAUAGCUGGAGUUGACAAUUUCAUUACUUUAGUCAAUUAUUGUGUAUCUAUCAUUUUAAUUGAUGGUUUUUGCACAUUAGUCCCUGAAAUCUUUUAAUAUCAUGUACCGUCCACCCUAAACUUCAUUAUUUGUAGCAGUUUCUGAAAUCAUCUCUUAGUUUUAAUCCAAGAUAUAUGGAGAGAUGAAAACUCAAUUUUUUCCCCCCCGAGAGUUCAUUUAUUUUCCUGUAUCUUCGCUUUGUGUUCCAAAUCUUCUCCUCCCUUGUCUCAGUCCCAUUUUUUCUCUCUCUUUCUCUUAAAAAUGAUAUACAAUGUCUAAUGGCAUUAAUCUCUUCAUCGAACUGCGAUCCAUAAAAUAUUUUACAUUUCAAAUUUGCUAGCUAGUAUAAAUUAGUAUCAUUCAUCUUUUCUUCUCAAUAUUGAAUGGAUCUCGACUUUUCAGAUAUAGUUGAUAACAACCUUUGCCCUUUUGAAGAGCUCUAAAGGGUGGGUUUGAAAAGAAUGGGAGUUCUUAAGUUUCUUUAGGAGAUUCUUGAAUUACAUUUUUUUGUUUUCUUAAACAUGAUUCUAUGUGAUUUAUGCCGGCGGAUGGACCUCUUUGUUCUUGUCUUUGUCGUUAGCUUGCAAUGUGACUCCACCAGUUGUGGAAUGGCGUAGUCUUCAGAAAAACGAAAAAAAUAUUACUCUGGUUUUGUUUUCUUUAGCUUUUUCAUCACAAAGCGCUCUUUGUUUGUCAAUAUAGUACAAAAGCUUGCUGGAGAUUGGAGGCACUUUUCAUUUGCCAGUAAUAACUUUAGAAUCAGUAUUUCGUGCAUCCCAUGAUCUCUUUGUUGGUUCAUUUUCCUGUAUACAUUUUUUUCAGAAAUAAAGAGCACCUUACAUUAAGUUCAUUCUGCUUUAUUAUUUCUCCUUUACACAUAACAUGAUUUAUUUAUUUGUUCAUUUCUCCUUUAUAUAAAACUUCACUUCAAAAUAGCAACAAGUUAUUUUUUAAGUUCCUUUCAUAAUUCUUUCUUGCAUAUUCAUGUGGAAGUUGGUAGACUUACAAGUUGCCUCGAAGUGCCUAAGUUAUUGAUACAUGUCUGUAGACGCAGAUCCUUACUUUUUAGUGCCAAUAUAUUCAGGUAGAAAAGCACAAGAAGAGAAGCUUCUAGGGAAAGAAGACAUAACGGAAGCCUCUCUCUCCUCCACUAAUCAUGAAAAAGAAGGCAACCAGAGUGACCUAGAAAUUCAAAAAGCAUCCGCCAACGAUCGCUUAGGUGGGACCAACAUUGACAAAACAAAUGCAGAGCAAUCCGGAUCUGACCAUGCUGAUACACAGAAAAUUAGCAGGCCAAUGUCUCCUGGAACCCUAGCUUUAAUGUGUGAUGAAGAAGAUACAAUGUUCAUUACUCCUCAAAAUGCUGCUUUGACUCCAAGCUUUCCAGCCAAUCAGAACAUGUCUGAGGUCUAUGCGGAGCAAGAAAGGGGUGUUUUGAUGAAAUUCCGGGAUUACAUUCGUAAGAUUGUGACCUGUGGGAGAAUGAAAGGUAUAUUAUUUUUUUCCCCUUAUCUCUUUAUGUGGGUAUUGCUUACUAUGUCUUAUUGAUUUGUUUCCUUGCUCAAUUUCAGUUUGUAGUUUCUCUUUGCUCUGGAAUCUUUUACGUAUAAAUGUAGAGUCCUUACCUGAACUACAGAGCAUUUUGAAGUUAGCUCUUAAACAUUAUAAGUUUUGACAUUGCUACCUGACCAGAUAAUAUGUUGAUUUAUGUAUCUUUGACAGAUUUUAGUAAUAUUUUUAACCUUUUUGACAGAAUAUUUUGUAACCUAAUAGAGUAUUCUGUUAUUUGAUUUACUGUUCAAUUUUUGCGGCGGAAAAUGUAUGGCAGAAAAUGUAUGUUUCUAAGAGAAGUCAACAGAAUUUUCUGAAACCACAAGUAAUGAAAUGAUUUGUAAUAGAAUUAAAAAUUUUGAAGUUCAGGCACCCAUUUGAAAAUAUAUUACAGUUUGCGUCUUUCAAGUUGAAACAGCAUGCUACACUCAGAUCAGUUCUUGGUAUAGUUAGUCAAUUGAUUCCUCUGUUAGCUGAUUAAGAUGAUCUAUCUAUUAUGAGCUGCGCAGCCUGUUGUAAUAUUUAUCCUAUCUUUGGAGGGAAGGGCCAAAAAAUGGAGCAUCUUAUUUCAUUUUCUCAUUAUGUCCUGUUUGGUUGUAGAAUAAGCCAUCUAAAUGUUAUGUACAUUUUAUUAAGCUAAUAUGUGAUUAUGGGAGGUUAAAAGUGAAGUUCUAGAGAUCAACAUGUUGUGAAGUUAUCCAUAUUUUAAACUCUGGAAAAAGAUGGAUUUCUUCCAAGUUUUUGUCCAACAGAAUCAGGAUUCAGUUAGUAAUUUUUUUUUUUUUUUUUAAAGAAAGGUUUGGUUACAAAUUCAAUCAUCAUUUGGCUAUUGUUUCAUUUUUUUAUUUUUUUAUUUUUCUAUUUUAGUUACUUAUUUCUGUGUGUGGUAGAAGCCAAAUUGCUCAAAGCAUAAUAUUUUAUUUCUUGGCCUCAAAUUCUGGAUAUUUUGGUAGUCCUCUAUUUCCUCAUUCUCCCAGAAACAAUUGUAUAUGAUGACAAAUUUAAUGUCUCUAUCUAUUCACACGCAAGUUAGGAAACCUAGUUUUGAAUUCUUCCCUGGGCUAGUCCAAAAGGACUAUUUAAGAACAGCUACUAGAAUUUGUUCUCUAAUCACCAAAUAAUUUUGUUGGCUAGAAAAAAUAGCAAAUUGUUUUUGUUAGUACAGUCAAUUCUAGCUUUAAUUCGGUGUAAGUAUUGGGAUGAUAAUAAUAAUAAUGAUGUAAUCUUUUUGUAAUUUUGCAGAGGAAAGGUACUCGUUGAUGGCGAUGAAAUCUGAAACGCCUUCUCGCCAGGAACCAAUCAGCAAUGGUGUUCCCAAAGCUCUCAUGUCAAGAACAACAGAGCUUCCUCCCGUGACCAAAACGGUAACUGCUAGUUCCAGUAAGUAUCCAUCUAUCGAACGCCCAAUUUCUGGACCUAUCGAGAAAAAACCUAAGAUUGAGCAUAGCGAGUCAUAGAAAUGUAAAGUAUUAAAAAAAAAAAAAAGAGAAAAGGAGAGGAGAUUAUAGCAGUAUUCGAAGCACAUUGCUGAAUCUUUUUAUUUGCACUCUGACAAUGUGGAAAUGCUGUAGGUAAACUUCUUGUUGACUCGAUUAAUAAAUUCCAUCCAAUCGAGCCACUCAUUUUAAUUUUAACCUUACACCGAGUUGCUGUGAUUUGUACUUGUAGAUAAUUUGAACAUAUUUCUCCAAGUUUGAUUGUGCAAUUAGCAUAUAGUUCGCUGUAUCGUAGGCAGAAUAUAUUGGUGAUUUUCAUGUAGUUGGUUGAACAUUAGAGAGGUUGCCCUAAUGUAGGGGCAUGUUUAGGGUUCAUCUCUCUUUUCUUUAGCAAAUGCUAGCUUAAUCUUAUGUGGAAGGAUGGAAAUGUUCUCACCUUUUUUUUUUUUUUCAUUUUUGGACAAAGAAUUGUAGUGAAAAAUCUAUAGAGAAAAUCUACAAUUUAUUUAAAAAGGUUGCACCUUUGUAAUAAUUAGCUGCAUGAUUUUGCCAUGAGUAGUGGUAUUAAUAGGAGUGGUGCUACAUUCACAAUUUCGACUCACUGUUUGGUGAAUGUUGUUUAUUUUGGAGUAUAUGUCAUUUAUUUUGAAGUAUAUGUCAGUCACACCACAUCAUCUAUUAAUAGUCAAUCAUAUUUUUCCUUGUGAGUAGAAAGUAUAGUAAAAAUAUUUUUUUAUUAAGGGAAAAUUUCAAGUACCAUCUUGUGAUUUCGCACUUUCGUAUUUUAGUACCCUGUGGUUUAAAGUGUAUCGCUUUCGUGUCCUGUGGUUUUAUUUUUUUCUUUUUGUUAUUCCUUCCAUUAAUUUUUUUCGUUAAAUCAGUGAUAAAGAUAAAACUAAAGGGUAUUAAAGUGAAUAUUUGAUAAACUAUAGGUGGGGCAUGUGAAAUUUUUUGUAUAUGUUUUAACGAAAAGUUAACGGAGGGGUAACGAGAAGAAAAAAAAAAAAUCACGAAGUAGUAAAUUGAUAUAUUUUAAAUCAUAGGGUACUAAAGCGAGAAAGUGUGAAAUUAUAGAGGUGGUAUUUUGAAGUUUACCUUUUUAUUAACUAUGAUAGGAUGGAUGAGCUCCAAAGAAGCAAUUUGAUUGGUUGAGGUACACCACAGUGUGAGGCGUGUUUGGUUUGAAGUCGGAGUCGGAAUCGAAAUCGGAAUCAAAAUAAGGCAGAAUCGGAAUCGGAAUAUCUCAUUAUCUAAUUCUGUUUGAUUCAUCACCUGAAUCGGAAUCGGAAUAAAUCAUUCUCAUUGUCGGUGUUUGGUUCAGGUGGAUAUAAAAAACAUAAUCAAAUUAGUAUAUUAACAUUAUCUUUAUAAUAUAUUAAUUUAAAUUCAAAUUAAAUAUUAAAUAUUUAAAAACUACAUCAAAAUUUUGAAAUAAUGUCAAAAUUUUAAAUGUAUGUUUUUUUUAAAAAAAAUUAAACUUUGAAGUUGAGUGGAUAAUUCAAAAUAUGAAACUAAAUUUUGAUUUAUUCAAAUUCAAACUUAAAAUUACAAUUACAAUUUUAAUUUGAAUCCAUAAAUUUAAUUUAAGUUUGAAAUAAAAUUUGAAUAAAACUUUAUAUAAAUUAAAAUUUAAUUUAAAUUCAAAUUAUAAGUUAGAUUCGAAAUAUUUGAUUAAAUUUUAAUUUUUAAUUUAAGUUUAAAUUAAAAUUUAAAAUAAUAUAUUUAAUUUUUAAAUUUUAACUCAUAUUUUAAUUAAAAAAUUUGAAAAAAUAAAUUUAAUCCGAAUAAAUAUCCAUUCCGUCCGGAUUCAACUUUCAAUCCGGCCUCCUAGGCCGGAUUGAAAAAAAAGGUGAUUGGGAGAUUCCCAUUCCACUCGGGAAUUGGAAUCGGAAUGGAACUCUCGCGUACCAAACACCCACAAACGAAUUUACCCAUUUCGAUUCCGAUUUCAGGAUGAAAAAGAAGCGAACCAAACACGCCCUGUAUGCGGUCGCUGCAUUCUAGAUAAUUUCCAUCCA